AAUUUUUUGUUAAAAGAAUAAUUUAUUUAAAUGCGUUUCAAAAAAAUAUUUAAUUAAAUUUUCAUUAAAAGAAUUAUUUGUAUUUAGUUACUUAAAUAAUCUCAAAUAAAUAAAUAAAUAGAACCACACCAAAUCUUUUGUUUAUUCAACCAGAAUUCUGAUCUUUUGAACUUUGAAGGUUCAAAAGUUACAUUGAACACACUUAAUUCUUCAUUGGUGGUUUCCUUGUGAUGAUGAUAAUUUUGUCACCGGAAUUCCCCCUAUCCUGACCGGAAUUCCUUCUCACGACCAAAACCUUCUUCGUCUUAUGAAGGAAACUCGAUGGCGACGACGACGACGCCGACGACGCAGCAGGGCUCGAUGCGUUUCCCCUAAACCUUUCUACUAAUGUAGGCUUAGGCUUAGGCUUAUCGUCAUUAUUAUCUUCCGGAUCUUGAUUCUCCAAUUUGACAACAACGUUCAUUUCAGGAUCCUGAUUCUCGGCCUGAAUCUGAACAGUUUUAUCAAAACCCAUCAACAAAUCAUAAGCCUCCCUUCUUUUCGAAUCCGACAACACUUCCCACGCUUCGUUAAUUAACUUAUUGGCUGUAUCCGCCCCGACGGACGAAAACCGAUCCGGCUUAAACAACUGCACCAGAGCCUCGUAACGUUUCUUGAUCACGUCGACUCCGGCGCGGUGAUCUCUGAUCCCGAGCACCGCGUACCAACUCUUCUUUUCCGCCGCCAGCUUGUGCACCACGUAACACGCGAAGUGGCUGUUCAGCCCCUGAUGGUUUGGGUUUUUCAUCCGCGCUCUGUCCACGACGCAGAGGGCGGAAUCGAUUUUUUCUUCUUUGAAUAAUUCUUCUGCCAUGUGUUUGCUGGCUUCCGCUUCCUUGUCUGCCAACUUGGAAAACAGAGCCUCUCUGGCUUCUGGAUUGUUAAAUGGGGAAGAAGACAGAGACGAAGACGAAGACGAAGACGACGACGACGACGACAUCGUUUUAAUAAAUAUAUGGAAGAGGAUUAGUGUCAGUUGGGUUAGCGUAUGCAAUUUGUGUUUAAAAUUUGCGUGUGAUUCGCUUUUAUAGCGGUUUUUGAAAACCGGCACCGUUCGGUUACUUGGGGAUGAUGGUUUUCCUUUCCCCAGCAGGAAAUGAAAAUGGGUCACGCCGUUUUUUGACCGUUGGAUUUGGGAAUCCUUAGUUGACAAGGAUAAGCAUUUUUUUUUUCGAUUAAUUAAAUGAAAUAGUUUUUAUUUUGGAAGUCCUUAUUGUCGGUUGAAAAAUAACUAGAAACCAAUUUAUUUAGGGAAACCAUCAUUUAAGUCCUUUCUAUUUUAAGAUUUCAUUAUUCAGGUCCUUCGACUAUAUUCCGCCUAGGUGGGCUUGGCCCGUGCCAGUGCUGCGCUCGGGUCAUAAGAUCCCAUUUCUUUAUAGACCCACAUUUAUUUUUUAGAAUUACCCUCCCAUCAUCAACAUUGACGUUUGGGUUAGUUUUUGUCACUCUUUUUUACUAUCUAGCAUUUCCCUUUUGCCAAGUGUUGCUAUCUUGCUGUCGUGGAAACGUAACUCUCAACGGCAUCUGUAACAGCCUCCAUCGGACGCGUGGUAGAUUUAUUUGAAGGCUGGAAAAAGAUAGGAGAUUUAUUUUAUUUUAUUUUUCUUUUCAGUAGCAAUCUCUUGUUUUUUAUUAUUAUUUUCUUAAUUAAUUGCAAUCAAGAAUAAAAAUAAAGUUGAUUUGAUGUUCAUAAAGAAAAGAAAAUGGGGAGGGGGAGCUGGAACGCAAAUAUACUUAUGAAACAUAUUCCUCAAUAGUCCUUUACUGUAAUUUCCAAACUUAAAACUAAUAAAGGUUACAGGGAAUCGCAAAUAUUGCUUGCUUUUUCGAAUGGGCCACGGAAACUUCCCCAUUACAUCAAAGUGCUGGUCCUAUUACUGUGACUUUACCGACUUUGGAGUUUUGACACUGGACACUGCUCCUAUUACUAACUCUGUACGAAACUUACUACAAUUUUAGACACUUGCAGAGAAAUUGUGAACUAACAUUCCUCCCGCAUGCCAUCCGCGUCGUCUAACGCCUUAUGGACUUCCACUCUGCAUGGACCAUAAGCCUUGCAGCAAGCAAGAAAAUAUACAAAAUUAGCCAUGUUUAAAGCAGAGAGAAGCCAGAAGUAGUGAUCAUAAUGACCCUUGUUGAUAUUGCUUGGAAUCCACCCCUGCUUUCCUCUACUUCUUGUAAUACCAUCGACUGAAUUCAUUAUCAAGCUCGCUACCAAGCUUGCCGCUGACAACCCCACUCCGAGAAGGGCGGAGGCUAUGCUGGACAUGCUUUUAGGCAGCUCGGAGUAGUAGAAUUCCGUCUGCCCAAUCAUGUUGAACGCCAUGGCCAAGCCGCUGAGCACGAGGUAAGGUAGUAGCCACAUGGCUGACAUUUGCACCACGGCUCGCGGGUCAUCUGAAAGUCCUUCAUCAAUUGCAAUACGGCGACGAACCGUCUCUGUGAUUGCCCAUGCCGCCAUUGAUGCAGUGGAGAAAAGCAGUCCUAUCCCCAUCCUCUGCUUCAAGCUUAGUUGACACGGCUUCCCUUUGAUUUUAGAUGCUAGAGGGAGAAGGAUACGAUCAUAGAAACCGACCCAUAAUGUCAGAGUGAUAAUCGUAAAUAUGCAGAAGGAAGCAGCUGGGAUUUCAAAGUUGCGACUGACGUGUCGGUCCAUGGAGCUUGCCUGGAGUACUGGAAAUGAACUUUGGCUGAGGGUCACACCAAUCAUUAUUCCAGUAGACCAUAAAGGAAUUACCUUGAUCAAUGCUUUUAACUCCUCUACUUGAUCAACUGUACAAAGACUCCAUGGAUCCGAGGCUCUUCCAUCUAGAGUCAAGUCUUGUUCCGGAUGUUUGAUUAUACAAGCUUUGUUCAAACACCUAGACAGAAAAAGAAAAUUUAAGAAAAUGCAAGUAAGAAUUCUAAUUUUCAGUAGCACCUGAAAGCAAUUGAUACCUUAAAUUUUCACUUGGCACGAGACGCACGGAUCCUUCUCUGUGAUGGUACCUUUCUUCCGCAGCCUGAGGUAAUGAUAACUUUAUAUGUCGAUUCUUAUACGAGGCAACAAGGACUUGAAUUAAUCCGGAAAGCAAGCUUGUGUUAGCUUUUGACUUGACAUAAAAGGGAGAAGCCAGAAAAAAACAAAGAGCUGAUAACAACAUUAUUGCGGCAGGAAUUCCAAACCCCAUCUUCCAGCCCAAGUUAUCUUGAAUAUAAACAAUAAAAGUUACGGCAACCAUAGACGACGCCGAGACAGAAACAUAAUACCAGCUGAAGUAACUCUUUAAGGCACCUUCACUUUUACUUUUGAUGCCAUCUCCCUUUUCCAACUGCUCAGCACCAAAUGCCAAAGAGGAUGACCGUAUGCCACCACCUCCAAGCGACAUGAGACCAAAAGCCAAAUACAAUAGCAUCAAUUGAGACCCUGUAGCGGAUUCACAACUAUCUCUCAGUGGGUAGUCACAAGCUAGAGGCCUGGCGUGGGGGAGGAUUGUCGUCAGCCACAACAGAACCAUCCCCUGUUAAUCAAUCAUUUAGUCCUUUCAUCUCUAUUUAAAUAGAAGGUUAAAUUUCUUAACAUGCACCGUGAUUAAUCAAGUCAAAUAUUUUAAAAAUAAUACCAAAUCCCUGAUAAUGCAGGGCCUUCAGGAGUCUAGUAGUUACCGGCGGCAGAGUAAUUUAUAUUUUACAGCUUCCAUAGCAAAGAACUAUUGCGAAAUGUUAAUUAAGAUUAACAACUAAGUAUAAUUUAAACUUGAUAGCUACUUGAUGCAAAAUAUAAAUUACAAUAAACAUUAAUUUUAUCACCUAUUGAGGAAAAGGACAUUGAGGUGGUCGAAGCAACAAAAAAGGCAAAAGGUCUAGUCCACGCAAUUCGAAAAAGUACCUAAAGGCUGGUUAAAUUCACAAGAAGCGCCACCAAAAUGAAAAGCGUAGAUGUGAACGUGGAAGUGAAAGAUUACCAAAAGGCAAGUGAUGCAACCGAAACCGAUCAUCAAAUACCGGCCCACGUAGGAAUCGGCGAGAAAGGCCCCAAGAAUCGGCAGAAAACUCGAAGCAGCUGACCAAAAGAAGAGUACGUUCGUACCUUCUGUUAUUUUCAUGUUAUAUUCUCUGCACAGAUACAGUAUCAUGUUUGGCAUAAACCCAGUACUUGCCAUCCUCUCAAAUGCUUCAUUUGCUGUCCACCAAAAAUAAAGCAAAUAAAAUAUAUUACACACAAUUGAUCAAAAGGGUAACAACAUCAACAUGCAUGCAUGUAGUAUACAUAUUAACAGAAAAAGCACAAGAUUUUUUUUUUUUUUUUGGGGGGUCAAGUGAAUAACUUACCAAUGAUGAAAGGCAAGGUUCUGAUGCCACCCUUUGGGUUUUUGUUGAUCAAGAGUGGCUCUGUGAUCAUUUUCUUUUCUUCUGAACAUGUUUCCAUUUUGAUUCUUUGUUGCUGUUUGCUUGCUUAGUCUUCUGUUUCUUUGUGCUUAUGGAGACUAAUCUAUUAUCUAUGUAAGGAGAUUUUACACGUAGUAGAUAUAGUGUAGUGGCACCCACCGAAAGUGAGAAAUGCUAACAUGCAUGUGGAGAGCACUGAUACGAUAGAAAGUGGAAGAACAUCAACGACGCUACCAAUUAACUAGAUAAUUUGUUUUCUUUUUCUUUCUUUUGAGAGGUACUAAUUUAAUUAAAUAAUUAAGAUGCUGCGUAUGGGGGAAAAAAUCUCAUAAUAACAAUUGUUUAUGAAAGGAAUAGCCAAUAAUCUGUGAUUAGUUAAUGAAAGUGGGAUAUUGUUUUGAAUUCUUUAACCGUCCGAUGUGACUUCCACUUUAUGGGCAGUUGGAAGUUACGCCUAGUCAAAAGAAAGAAGUGGGAAAUUUAAAAAAUAAAUAUAUAAAUAAACAAGUGGAAUAACUUAGAAAAUGGAGGAAUAACACAUAGAUCCCUCUAUUUGUAUAUUGUUUUAUUCAAACUAUACUUGGUCUAUUUGCGUAAAACAAGUUCCCGACGCCUUCAGAAAUGAUAGUUAGUUAGUUACCUUUAUUUAGGGCCGAAUUUGAGCAGUACAUUAGUAAUGAAGUCAUGUCCUCACUCAACCUAAAGCAUAAUACAACCCUCGCUUAUCUUAUGGUGUGAAGUUUUGCAGCUCUCUCAUCUUUUUGUAUAAAAAUUAUUAGCUUAAGAUUGUAUAAAAAAAUUUUAACCUCAACGUAAAAAUAGUCUCUAAAAUUUUAAUAUUACAAACUAUUAUUCUAUUUAAUAUUAUAAAGAUCCCAAGUAAAUAUCUACAGAAGGGAAGCCUAGAUUACUAAAUAUAUAUGGAGAAUAAUGAGUAUAAAAAUCUAAUAAGUUAAAGGGAAAUCUUCGGAGAAAGGAGGAGCAUGAUAUGAUUUAUUUGAAGAACAUAUUCAUGAAUACAGGAAGAUGACCGGACUAAGGUGUGGCUGCUCAUAUCUUGGCUAUUUUAAUAAGGAUUGAGGACUUAUUUGAUAUAAAAUGAUAAAAUGUGGCCGUUGUUUUAGAAAAUAAAAAGAGAACAAGGGAUACAGACGUUAUUGUCUAUGCUCAACUAAACAGAAAUUGCUGGAGUCGCGACACCACAUCCUUUGAAUUUACUUAAAGUAAAACAGUAAAAAUUAAAAACAACCCAAAAUGCGACACGGCACGGAGGGUCAUUCUCGGAAAUGCGGGCCACCUUUACCUCGCCUUUCAACUUCUUUGUCAUUGUUUCAAACUUUCGAGGCGCAGAGAGGGAGACACCAGACGCUGAACUCGCGCACUUGGUUACACGUACCCGUGUCGGUAUUUUAGUACCCUUUUCUUUUGUUUUUUUGAGAAGUAGUACCCUUUUCAGUUAGUGCUGUGGUUGCCCUUGGCACCGUGGUCCCCGGUCGGUGGCGUGAUGACGACAUGAACGAGAAGAAUCUACGCAUUAAAAAAUUGGUAAAGUAGAAUUUCAUUAAAUUUAUAAUCGAUAAAGGUGUUAAUUUGAUUGAAUAAUAAUUUUUAUUGUUCUCGAUUUGAGGCUAGAUAAAUUAAUUAAAAAUUUAAAAGAAUCUCAAUUUUCUAAUAAAUUCCAAUUAAUACAUAAAUUAAUAAUUAACUAAUUUGAAUAUAAAUGCUAUGAGACUUUUAUAAAAUAAAUUUUCAAUGUUGCUUUCUUCUUCUUGACAUUGGUUUUACUUGAACUUCAUCUCUAAUUUUUUAUAAUGCUGAAAGAAAUUUCGGCAUGGUGUUGCCGCCUUGCCAGGGGCGGAAGUGUUAAGUGGCAGCCCGGUAUAGGAAAAAAAAAAUCAGUUAGUUUGAUUAAAAUUACGAAAAUGUCAUUAAUUGUUAAUUACGAAAAUACCAUCAAUUGUUAAUUACAAAAUAUUAUCCAUCAUUAUUACUUUUCCUUUACUUCCACCGACACCAUUAGAAAAAAAAAAAAUUCAAACCCUUCUAGAUUCUUCAUUCUUCAUCAAUUCACCGUCAUUGCUUCACAACUCACAAUUCAUCAUCCGUUUAUAUCUUCCAAUUUCUUUGCAAUACAUUUUUAUAUUGGUAUGUUACUAUAUUUUUAGAACUUGCAUAAAUUAUUUAUUUUUUUAGAUAGAUUUUAUUAAUUUAUUAUUUUGAAUGUUUAAUUGGCUUUUUUUUGUAAUUAGUUUUGUGAUUUAUUAGUUUGAGUUGAUUUAUUAUUGUUAUUUUUUCACUAAUAAUAUUUUUUAAAAUGGAAAAGAUGAACAAAAUGAAUUGUUUAAUUUAUUUAAGCAUGCUAAUUAAGCUCGUAAUUAUUAAUUAAUUUAUUAAUUCUUAUGUAGUUUCAUGUUAUAGUAAUUCAUAGGUUAUAGUGUCCGAUAAAUCUAAGAUAAGGAAAACUCUUCUUUCAUUCUUUACCAAAAUAGAUGGUGGUCAAUCAUCAAAUGGAACAAGUUCUCCGUGCAAUAUUGAUGCCUCAAUUUCUCUUAAAUCUCAAAGAGCCAAAUUUGAGAAAGUUGACAUUUCAUCCACUAUUGACAUCUCUUAUUUAUAACGUGAUCCCGAAUUACACAUCUCAAUUAAAACUUAUCCUAUUAAGAAACGUUAAGAUGUGUGGAUGCAUAUAUAAAUAUCGGACCAUUCCAUCCCAAGCUACAAAAGUACCCAUCAACUAAACACGGUAUACAAAAUCGUCGAUUUCAAUUUUCUUGGUUCUCAAAAUUUCCUUAGCUUGAGUAUUCCUUAUCAAAAGAUAAAGCAUUUUGUUUUCCAUACUUUUUUUUAGGGAGAUUGUCAAUUUCCCCCCUACAGUAAUCAACAUAUACCAUUUCUCCCCCUGCUGUUUUUAUAAUGGCCAAAAACUCCCCUAAUAGCAUAAGUUUACAAUAUUACCUUUAUUUUCAACUACUCUUUUAUUUAUAUUUAUUAUAAAUUAAAUAAAUCACAUGAAUAGAAACUAAAUAAAAAAUUAAGCAUUAAAAACAAGAAAUAUAUGUUUUGAUAUGAGAAAAAAAUUAAUAAUAAAUUUUUUUUCUUGUACUUAUUCAUUUUGUGAAAAUUUUCUUAUAAUAAACAUAUAAGAAAAUUAUUAUAAAAUGAUAAAAAAAUUAUUAUAAGAAAACUUGAAUGAUAAAUAAAAAUUUAUUAUAAGAUAAAUAAUAAAAUAUUUUGCCUAUCUUUUUACAUUUAAUUUUAAAUAUUACAAAAUGUUUAUUAUAAGAAAAUAUUCAUAAAAUAAAUAAUUACAAGAAAAAAAAUUUAUUAUUAAUAUUUUUGCUCAUAUCAAAACAUAUAUUUCUUGUUUUUAAUACUUAAUUUUUUUAUUUAGUUUCUAUUCAUGUAAUUUAUUUAAUUUAUAAUAAAUGUAAAUAAAAGAGUAGUUGAAAAUAAGGGUAAUAUUAUAAACUUAUGCUGUCAGGGGAGAAGGGGGAUAAAUGGUAUAUGUUAAUUACUGUAGGGGGGAAAGUGGCAAUCCCCCUUACUUUUAAUGAUGGUUCGCUAUGAAAACCGUCAUUAAAAAUAAACAAUUACAAUGAAGGUUUUGUUUGAAAAUGGUCAUUAAAUGUAUAGUUAAAAUUUAAUAUUAAGUUUAAUGCAGGUAUAUUAUAAAAACCAUCAUUAAAAAUACAUACUUACAAUGAUGGUUUUUAAACUUAACCAUCAUUGUAUAUCCACUAAAAUAUAACCUUAAUAUUAAUGACAGUUAUUUUAGGAACCAUCAUUAAAAGGAAACUAUUAACCUUCAUUCAUAACUGUUUAUUUUAUAAACGGUCAUGGAAUAUACAAAUAAUAAAAGUGAAGCCGAUUUCAAGACUUGGGCAUUUUAUUUCUUCACUUCAGAAUGUCUCUCCCAAAUGCCCAAAUUCCUUCCAUCACUCUCUCAUUUCUCUCCAGAAUCGACAUUCAAGCAAAAUAUAAUUUUAGCCAAGAUUGAUUGUUGCCCACUUUGCAACCAUCACAACCUUGACCCAAUACAUAGCACCUAAUGUUAAAAAAGAGUUAUUAAAUAUUCUUGCUAAUAAAGUGCGAUACAAGAUUCGGAAGGAAAUUGCAGAUACUAUUGAUUCAGAAUCCAUAAUUGAUGAAUUCCAUUGUUUGAAGCCGCGAAAAGUACAACUUUAGUUAUAUUUUUGUUUUGGAUUAUAUUUUUAUUUUCUAUUUUUAUAUAAUUAUUUUGUUUAAAGUAAUUAUUAUUUGGUGUAAUAUUUCUAAUGUCCUCAUCUUAUUAUGUGUAUUUUAUUUUUUUCUUAUAAAAUUUUAUGUUCACUUUACAAUAUAACUUUUUUUUAAAAAAUUUAGCCUGAAGUACUUUAAAAUCCUGGAUCCACCCCUGCACUUUGCAACAAGAAAUUAUUCAAUGUCACUAUUAAUUAAAGUGUUUAUUCGGGGGAAAACGAGAUUCACACCACGCUUUGCACCACACAUAGCACCGAACGGUGCGUUUUGAAAUAAAUAUAAAUAGUCAUUGUGAAUUGAUAAUUUUGACACUUGCAACACACACGCGCUCUCUCGUUCUCUCCCUCUAACGACACAAAAUCUCCCCGUCGACUCCUUUUUCUCUCCCCUCCAGAUCGAGCAGCCGUGGGUUAUUUUCUCUCAAUCUCCCCUCCAAAUCCAGCGGCCGUCGGUCGCUCUUUCAUCCCUCAAAUCUACAACAGCCGUGGGUUACUCUCUCUCAUCCCCCCAAAUCCACAGCAGCCGCAUGUUACUUUCUCUCAUCCCUCUCCAAAUCCAGCAAUCCACGAGAUGGAGAGAGAGACAGCUAACAAUAAUCAAAACUCAACAAAUCGCCAACCAAAUUUGCCCAGUUAAAACAAACCAAAUUUGCCUAGUUAAAAAAAUAAUCAGCAAUCAAGAAAUCAUGCCGACAAAAUUUGCCCAGUUGAGAAUCAAAAAAUUAAGCCAACCAAAUUUGCCCAAUGAUUUGCUUCAUCACGAGUGAAAAAUUCAAGCCAACUAAAUUUGCAACAAAUCGCCAACCAAAUUUCCCUAGUUAAAACAAACCAAAUUUGCCUAGUUAAAACAAUAAUCAAGAAUAAAGAAAUCAUGCCAACAAAAUUUGCCCAGUUGAGAACUAAAAAAUCAAGCCAACCAAAUUUGCCCAAUAAUUUGCUUCAUCACGAGUAAAAAAUUCAAGCCAACCAAAUUGAAUAUGUAUAUGGAACAAAAAAAUUGCAGAAUUAGAGAGGGGAUAUGAGAGAGAGUAACCCACAGCUGCUGUGGAUUUGGGGGGUGUGAAAGAGUGCUAUGGUCCAGUGAGAUGAGGGUGGUAUGCGCUUGCGUUUGAGUGUGGUCUGCGUUUGCGUUUCAGUGAGACAAGUGUGUAUGUGGUCUGCGCUUGCGUUUGAGCAAGACACGCGUGUGUGUGUUUUAAAGCUACAGUAAGUUCUUUUAAAGUUAGCACAAAACGAAUCGUUUUGUGCUAACUGUGGUCCUAAUUGGUGUGAGCAUAUCAGUGCUGUUAUUCGGGUGAGAUGGUCUUGAGAGUGAAACUAUUACCUUCAACUUCUUCCUCUUUAAUCUUUAUUAUUUUUCAUUAUACUUUCAAUUAUUUGAUCGUCACUCAAAUGAAAAUCGUAUCACACAACUUGAAAGAAUCUUUACUCUAAUUAUAUUACAUCUAUACAUCAUAAAAAUUUAUAUUCUAAACAUGAUAUUAUCUUCAUAGAUUAAUAUUAUGAAUUAAUUAAUAAUUUAUUAUUAUUAUUAUUAUUAUUUGGUGCUAUAUUAAAUUAUAAUAUCACGACAUUAGUGUAUACAUUCAUAUAUUCCAUUACUGCAUGUUCUUAAUUAAAGGUGAAAGAACUUUCUGAAUUGAAGUGCGCAUAAUUUCUUUUGCCUUUUAUCACACACACACAUAUAUGUGCACAGCACAUGCAUGAAUGUUAGUAGUUUUAUAAUCAUGGAUUUUAAAGUGCGGGAAAGUACGAGAAAAUUUUAAAACCACACGAUUUUAAAGGCUUAUAGUUUUAAUUCUUUAAAACUAUACGGUUUUAAAACUUUUCCACAUUUUAAAAUUCCGAACUGAAACAUUUCUCGCAUAAAUGUAGUACCAUAUCUCAUCUCCUUGUAAAACAUUUUUGGAUUACACCACCUUUUAUUUCCUAAUCUUUAUCUCUUUUUUUUCUUUUUUUUUUUUACUUUUCCUUUUCAGUCCCAGUGGCCACUGGCCAGUGCCACUUUGAUGGGCAAAUUUGAGUUCAAACUUCCAACAUAUUGCAACGACACUAUUUUCAUGCUAUACAAUUGUUUGGCAUUAGAAUCUCUCUUAUACAUAAAAGUAGAGCAGAUAUAUAUUCUUUUAUAUAUGAAUGAAAAUUUAAACUAUAUCAUAAUAGAAUUAAUUUAAUAGAUAAUCUCAAUAUAUUCUUAAUUAUAAAUGUGUAUAAACAAAUUAUAUUCUUUUAUAUACAUAAAAUUUAUUCAAUGUUACAUUCAAUUCAUUCUUUUAUAUUCUUAUAACAGUUUAAUAAUAAGAUUUAUAAAAUAUAUAUGACUUUCAUAAUAUUUUUAAAAAUAAAUUUAUUAAAUAUUUAAUUAAUAAUCUUCACAAUGCAUUACCAACUAGCCUAAGACUUAAGGAGAGAAUCAGGCAUAGAGACAAUCAAGAUCGAUUCGUCGUUGAUGUUUGUUGAUAAAUAUGUAAGUUUAAAUUAACAUAUAACACAAUAUAAUCUUUUAUUCAUAUAAUCAUCAAAUUUUCUUUUGAAUUACAUUGAAAAUCAACGACGACAAUUUCUCUUAACUUAAGAAAUUCAGCAAAGGUUCCUUCCGAUGAGAGCAAGCUCCUUAUACAACGAUCUGUUAUUACUGUUGUUAUAAUUAUAAUUAUCAUAACCCAUAAGAAUGUCAUAGGCUUGCCGUCUUUUUGUAUUGGAAAGAACCUCCCAAGCUUCAUUAAUAAGCAAAUUUGCAGUCUCAGCAGCGACAGAAGAACAUUCAUCAGGAUGAAACAACUGUGCCAAGCCCUCAUAACUCUGCCUGAUUUCGUCCUCUCCGGCUUUAUGAUCUUUGAUACCCAGAACCAAAUACCAGCUUUUGGUUUGCACUGCGACUUUGUGCACCAUGUAAGAGCUUAAGUAGUUAUCGAGGCCCGGAAGAUUAGGGUUCUUAAGCCGUGCUGUUUUAAUGGCAUAGAGUGCGGCAUCAAUGUUUUUGUUUAUGAAUAACUCCUCUGCCAUGUCUCUGCAGGCUUCAGCUUCCAUAUUUAUGAGCUUCGGGAAUAGAGCCUCUGCGGCUACUGGAUUGCACAACGGAGGAGGCAUUGUUGAAUUGAAAAACAGAGCCAGAAACAGAGAAUGUAAUGUUACUUUGUUGGGUAAGUGAUAAAAUAGGCUAGCUUUAUCAUGCAGAACAAGGAUUCCUUUUUGGCGUUUUUUUUGAGUCUUUCCUAAUAAAAUAAGUAAUCAAGAUUGAAUUUUAAAUGUUGAUAAUGACAAUCAACUAACUUUUUUUUUCACUUUAUUUACAAUUAAACUAUUUUUUGUUACUAGAUUUAAAAAGAUUAAAAGAAGAAAACAAUAUGAGAGAUUUUUAAUCCUAUUACAAAUGUAGAGGCUUAAUCCGACAACGUUUUUGGUUGGUGGGCUUGCAAGGUUUUGUGUUACUCCUUAAUUGCCUAGGGGCGGGUAAAAUUCUUGGAUUCUUUUACUGAAUUAAAUAAGAAAGAGUGCGUAGAAAUUAAGAAACGAUCCACUAAUAAGAUUCUCAGAAUCGGAUUCGACGAAGGGAUGGCAAAUUGGCCAUAUAUAUAAAGAUUCGCGUUUCAAGGAUAGUUGAUUAUUUGACCUUCAACAAUUUUCUCAAUUUACGGCAAAUUAGUGUAAAGAUUGUAAACUAUAAACUUUUUUCGGAUCUUUUACUUAAAUACAAAUUUAGAGUCAUGUUCAGGGCCCCACGUUAGCAUUUUUACUGGAUGCAACUUUCAAGCUCGACAAUGUAUAUGGGUUGAAGUUUGUGUACAUUAUGCGCGAUAAAAGCAGCGAGAGAAGUUCCAAUAAAAUAAAAGUAGAAGGAAAAAAAUACUUCGAAUUUUCAUGUUUGAAUUCCAAUUCAAAUGACAUUUUCGUUCAUUUAGAAUCUGAGUUCUUCUGCUUAUGAGAACAUAGAAUUUGAAUUAAACCCAUUAUAUUUAUUUAUUAUUUUUUCCCUUGCUUUGUGCUCAAAGAGAUAUAUUCUCAAUUGACUAAAAUUGUUGACUCCACCAUUCAAUAAUAGUAAAAUAAAAUACUAUUAUCAAACAAUAGAAAAACGAAGAUUAGUAAAAGGUAAGGGUAGUCAUUAAUUAAAUUGUUCCUGAAGGUUCAAACCAUUUGAAAACCUCAGGAAUCUUUGUUGCCCACAAUAGAAAUAUGGUCAGAUAACUUCAUGUAUCACUUGGGUGAGUUUUUACUUAUGCUUGCGUCAUACACAUAUAAUCAUUUAAGAUAAAACAUAUGCCUUUUGUUGAAUUCUCAAUGUCAUGUUUGCCUAAAAAUAAGAUUGUAGAUUAAGGUCCGUUUGGGAUAGUUUUAAGGAGAUUUAAAAGUAAUUUUAAAAGAUAAAAGUUAAUUUUAGUGUUCGAUAAUUUUUUUAAGAAAUUACUCUUGGUAAAAUCACCCCAUUCUCUACAACGAAUUUUGGAAAACACAGAAAAAAUAAUUUUUAAAUUCGACUUUGAGAAUCAAUUUUAUACUUAAUACAAUUUCAUAUAUAUCCUUAUAUAAAUUAUACAAAUUCAAAUUAUCCUUAUUAAUUAAAAAAUAAAAUUAUUAAAUUUAAAGCUGCUGUACCGUACAUCCGCCUUGGCCGUACAGCAGAAAACCUGCAGUGGUGGCAAGUGCCAUUUGGAGAAGUUGAUAGUGAUGUUGACAACCUAUCUCCCUUGCACAACUUUUGAGGGCACUUUAUUUUGUAAUAAUUAAAUAAAAAAUAAAAUUAAUAAUAUAAAAUGUUUAUCUUAGUUAUCAAUUAUUAUAUAUACAUAAUAAAAAAUAUUUUAUAUACAUAUUUGUAUGUUUAUAUAUGUUAAAUAAAAUUUAUGUUCAACUCAAUCAUUUACAUUUAUACAACAGUUUGUCACCGAAAUUCCCCGCAUCUUGACCGGAAUUCCUUCUCACGACCAAAACCUUCUUCGUCUUAUGAGGGAAACUCGACGGCAAUGAUGACGAUGCCGACGACGCAGCAGGGCUCGAUGUGUUUCCCCUAAACCUUUCUACUAAUGUAGGCUUAGGCUUAGGCUUAUCAUCAUUAUUAUCUUCGGGAUCUUGAUUCUCCAAUUUGACAACAACGUUCAUAUCAGGAUCUUGAUUCUCGGCAUGAAUCUGAACAGUUUUAUCAAAACCCAUCAACAAAUCAUAAGCCUCCCUUCUUUUCGGAUCUGACAACACUUCCCACGCUUCGUUAAUUAACUUAUUAGCAGUAUCCGCCCCGACGGACGAACACCAAUCCAGCUUAAACAACUAAAGCCUCGUAACGUUUCUUGAUCAUGUCGACUCCGGCGCAGUGGUUUUGUUGGGAAAAUAUGCACUUUAAAAGCAUAUGUGUUUAUUUAAUAGUAAUAAAUAAUUUUUCUGAUUAAUAAAAUAAAUUAAGUAUUUUAUUCAAGUAUGUUAAUUGCAUUAAUAUUUUGAGUAAAGUCCAUUUGAUCAUAUUAUAUGUAUUUAUGUGAUCACCAUGUGGAUUCACAUAAGACAUAAAUACAAGUUAUCUUAUGAUUAAAUAAAUUAGUUCGCAGUUGAUAAAUAAAGUUGGACAUUUUAUUUAGGUAUAGACUGUAAUGAAUUUAUUGAAUGAUUUGUCUUAAUCAUGUAUGAAUUUAUUGAUAUAGUACGACUACAUUGAACAAGAUCACAUAUGAGAUUUAAUUAAUUUUGUAAUAAAUAUCAGACUUAUUAAAUCUCAUAGGCAUUGAUUUUAUUGUAACCUUAAUCUUGAGUUAAUUAUGAUUACAUGAUUGUAAUUAUUAUUCCAUUUGAGUUACCAAUUGGCACGACACAUACUUGUAGUCAAGAUUACCUGGUAUCUUGGUGGAAACAAUUAUGAGUAUUGGAGUUAUAGAUUAACAAUAUAGAAUUUGUACAACACAUCUCUUGAUGGGUUUCCGGCACUUGAUCAUAGGAUUCUCUGACCAGAGUGUGUCAACAUAUUUAGUAUGUUGAAAAUGAUCAUUAGAGAAAACCAGUAAGUAUCAAGGAACAAUAUGUAAUUGAGAUAUCGAUUUAAUUAAUGAUGUGGUACUAAUGAUUGUGCAAUAAAGAAAUCAAUGUGACUUAAGACGAAUUAUUAUUCGAACAUACAAUUGUGAAGGUCAGUUCCAAUUUUAUAGUAGAGUAGAGUUGGAAUUAAAUGAUUAGGCUUAUUUAAUUACAGGCUUAAUUAUUGUAGCCAUUAUUGUAUGUUCACAAAUGAUCCCCAGGUUAGCUCAUUUAAUUGGCUGCACCACUACAUGAUUAAUAAGCAAGAUAACUAGCUAUUUAUGUCAAAAACCUAAAUAUAUCAUUUAGUGGGAGGUUACAUUUAAUAUGCUUGUGUGUAAGGGGUCUUAUGUUAUUUAUAAGGUGGGCCUCCUAUAGAAAAAGUAAGUAACAUGACUUUUGAUUUUUAUUAUUUGGAGUCUAAGAUUUUCACUAAAGGGAGAUAUAAAAAAACUUAUUUUCUCUAAAUAAAAAAGAAAGAGGCCACAUUAUACAGAUUCGAAAAAAAGAUUUUUUCUCUCUAAUUUAAAGAGAAAAAUUUUCUCCUGCUAGUUGCUUUUCAUGGUGAUAAAAGUGGCCAAAUGUCAAGUGCAUAUCAAAUCUGAGUCAUAACUUAGAAGAUUAUUUAGUCAUAACCUAAAAGAUUAUUUAGUGGCAGAUCGUGAUUUAACAAGAGUUGUGGUGACGAAUUGUGGUCUGAGAGUAUAAAUCACUUCAGCAGAAAAGCAAAGAUUGUUUAUCUUCUCAUAUUUUUAAGAUUUAAUUUCUAAAUUACGAAUUCUUAUAUAUUGAAUGAAAUCGAUUCUAAAAAAAUAUUUUUUAAUUAAAAAAAUUGAUUUUACCCCAACAGGUCUCUGAUCCCGAGCACCGCGUACCAACUCUUCUUCGCCGCUAGCUUGUGCACCACGUAAUAAGCGAAGUGGCUGUUCAGCCCCUGAUGGUUUGGGUCCUUCAUCCGCACUCUGUCCACGACGUAGAGGGCGGAAUCGAUUUUUUCUUCUUUGAAUAAUUCUUUUGCCAUGUGUUUGCUGGCUUCCGCUUCCUUGUCUGCCAACUUGGAAAACAGAGCCUCUCUGGCUUCUGGAUUGUUAAAUGGGGAAGAAGACAGAGACGAAGACGACGACAUCUGUAACAGCCUCCAUCGGACGCGUGGUAGAUUUAUUUGAAGGCUGAAAAAAGAUAGGAGAUUUUUUUUUUCUCUUUUCAGUAGCAAUCUCAUGUUUAUUAUUAUUAUUAUUAUUAUUAUUAUUAUUAUUUUAAUUAAUUGCAAUCAAGAAUAAAAAUCAAGUUAAUUUGAUGUUUAUAAAGAAAAGAAAAUGGGGAGGGGGAGCUGGAACGCAAAUAUACUUAUGAAACAUAUUCCUCAAUAGUCCUUUACUGUAAUUUUCAAACUUAAAACUAAUAAAGGUUACAGGGAAUCUCAUGAGAUAAAAGGUGGGUGCUGAAUCACUAACUAUUGCUUUCUCGCAUCUUGUAUUUUUAAGGGGCCACGGAACCUUCCCCAUUACAUCAAAGUGCUGGUCCUAUUAAUGUGAGUUACCGACUUUGGAGUUUUGACACUGGACACUGCUCCUAUUACUAACUCUGUACGAAACUUACUAUAAUUUUAUACACUUGCAGAGAAAUUGUGAACUAACAUUCCUCCCGCAUGCCAUCCGCGUCGUCUAACGCCUUAUGGACUUCCACUCUGCAUGGACCAUAAGCCUUGCAGCAAGCAAGAAAAUAUACAAAAUUAGCCAUGUUUAAAGCAGAGAGAAGCCAGAAGUAGUGAUCAUAAUGACCCUUGUUGAUAUUGCUUGGAAUCCACCCCUGCUUUCCUCCACUUCUUGUAACAUCAUCGACUGCAUUCAUUAUCAAGCUCGCUACCAAGCUUGCCGCUGACAUCCCCACUCCGAGAAAGGCGGAGGCUAUGCUGGACAUGCUUUUAGGCAGCUCGGAGUAGUAGAAUUCCGUCUGCCCAAUCAUGUUGAACGCCAUGGCCAAGCCGCUGAGCACGAGGUAAGGUAGUAGCCACAUGGCUGACAUUUGCACCACGGCUCGCGGGUCAUCUGAAAGUCCUUCAUCAAUUGCAAUACGGCGACGAACCGUCUCUGUGAUUGCCCAUGCCGCCAUUGAUGCAGUGGAGAAAAGCAGUCCUAUCCCCAUCCUCUGCUUCAAGCUUAGUUGACACGGCUUCCCUUUGAUUUUAGAUGCUAGAGGGAGAAGGAUACGAUCAUAGAAACCGACCCAUAAUGUCAGAGUGAUAAUCGUAAAUAUGCAGAAGGAAGCAGCUGGGAUUUCAAAGUUGCGACUGACGUGUCGGUCCAUGGAGCUUGCCUGGAGUACUGGAAAUGAACUUUGGCUGAGGGUCACACCAAUCAUUAUUCCAGUAGACCAUAAAGGAAUUACCUUGAUCAAUGCUUUUAACUCCUCUACUUGAUCAACUGUACAAAGACUCCAUGGAUCCGAGGCUCUUCCAUCUAGAGUCAAGUCUUGUUCCGGAUGUUUGAUUAUACAAGCUUUGUUCAAACACCUAGACAGAAAAAGAAAAUUUAAGAAAAUGCAAGUAAGAAUUCUAAUUUUCAGUAGCACCUGAAAGCAAUUGAUACCUUAAAUUUUCACUUGGCACGAGACGCACGGAUCCUUCUCUGUGAUGGUACCUUUCUUCCGCAGCCUGAGGUAAUGAUAACUUUAUAUGUCGAUUCUUAUACGAGGCAACAAGGACUUGAAUUAAUCCGGAAAGCAAGCUUGUGUUAGCUUUUGACUUGACAUAAAAGGGAGAAGCCAGAAAAAAACAAAGAGCUGAUAACAACAUUAUUGCGGCAGGAAUUCCAAACCCCAUCUUCCAGCCCAAGUUAUCUUGAAUAUAAACAAUUAAAGUUACGGCAACCAUAGAUGACGCCGAGACAGAAACAUAAUACCAGCCGAAGUAACUCUUUAAGGCACAUUCACUUUUACUUUUGAUGCCAUCUCUCUUUUCCAACUGCUCAGCUCCAAAUGCCAAAGAGGAUGACCGUAUGCCACCACCUCCAAGCGACAUGAGACCAAAAGCCAAAUACAACAGCAUCAAUUGAGACCCUGUAGCGGAUUCACAACUAUCUCUUAGUGGGUAGUCACAAGCUACAGGCCUUGCAUGGGGGAAGAUUGUCGUCAGCCAUAACAGAACCAUCCCCUGUUAAUCAAUCAUUUAGUCCUUUCAUCUCUAUUUAAAUAGAAGGUUAAAUUUCUUAACAUGCACUAUGAUUAAUCAAGUCAAAUAUUUUAAAAAUAAUACCAAAUCCUUGAUACUGCAGGGCCUUUAGGAGUCUAGUGGCUACCGGCGGCAGAGUAAUUUAUAUUUUACAGCUUCCAUAAAAAAGAACUAUUGCGAAAUGUUAAUUAAGAUUAACAACUAAGUAUAAUUUAAACUUGAUAGCUACUUGAUGCAAAAUAUAAAUUACAAUAAACAUAAAUUUUAUCACCUAUUGAGGAAAAGGACAUUGAGGUGGUCGAAGCAACAAAAAAGGCAAAAGGUCUAGUCCACGCAAUUCGAAAAAGUACCUAAAGGCUGGUUAAAUUCACAAGAAGCGCCACCAAAAUGAAAAGCGUAGAUGUGAACGUGGAAGUGAAAGAUUACCAAAAGGCAAGUGAUGCAACCGAAACCGAUCAUCAAAUACCGGCCCACGUAGGAAUCGGCGAGAAAGGCCCCAAGAAUCGGCAGAAAACUCGAAGCAGCUGACCAAAAGAAGAGUACGUUCGUACCUUCUGUUAUUUUCAUGUUAUAUUCUCUGCACAGAUACAGUAUCAUGUUUGGCAUAAACCCAGUACUCGCCAUACUUUCAAAUGCUUCAUUUGCUGUCCACCAAAAAUAAAGCAAAUAAAAUAUAUUACACAAAAUUGAUCAAAAGGGUAACAACAUCAACAUGCAUGCAUGUAGUAUUACAUAUUAAAAGAAAAAGCACAAGAUUUUUAUUUUUUUUGGGGGGUAAAAUGAAUAACUUACCAAUGAUGAAAGGCAAGGUUCUGAUGCCACCCUUUGGGUUUUUGUUGAUCAAGAGUGGCUCUGUGAUCAUUUUCUUUUCUUCUGAACAUGUUUCCAUUUUGAUUCUUUGUUGCUGUUUGCCUGCUUAGUCUCCUGUUUCUUUGUGUUUAUGGAGACUAAUCUAUGUAAGGAGAUUUCACACGUAGUAGAUAAGAGAGUGUAUUGGCACUCACCGAAAGUGAGAAAUGCUAACAUGCAUGUGGAGAGCACUGAUACGAUAGAAAGUGGAAGAACAUCAACGAUGCAACCAAUUAACUAAAUAAUUUGUUUUCUUUUUCUUUCUUUUGAGAGGUACUAAUUUAAUUAAAUAAUUAAGAUGCUGCGUAUGGGGGAAAAAAUGAUGACCGUAUGCCACCACCUCCAAGCGACAUGAGACCAAAAGCCAAAUACAAUAGCAUCAAUUGAGACCCUGUAGCGGAUUCACAACUAUCUCUCAGUGGGUAGUCACAAGCUAGAGGCCUGGCGUGGGGGAGGAUUGUCGUCAGCCACAACAGAACCAUCCCCUGUUAAUCAAUCAUUUAGUCCUUUCAUCUCUAUUUAAAUAGAAGGUUAAAUUUCUUAACAUGCACCGUGAUUAAUCAAGUCAAAUAUUUUAAAAAUAAUACCAAAUCCCUGAUAAUGCAGGGCCUUCAGGAGUCUAGUAGUUACCGGCGGCAGAGUAAUUUAUAUUUUACAGCUUCCAUAGCAAAGAACUAUUGCGAAAUGUUAAUUAAGAUUAACAACUAAGUAUAAUUUAAACUUGAUAGCUACUUGAUGCAAAAUAUAAAUUACAAUAAACAUAAAUUUUAUCACCUAUUGAGGAAAAGGACAUUGAGGUGGUCGAAGCAACAAAAAAGGCAAAAGGUCUAGUCCACGCAAUUCGAAAAAGUACCUAAAGGCUGGUUAAAUUCACAAGAAGCGCCACCAAAAUGAAAAGCGUAGAUGUGAACGUGGAAGUGAAAGAUUACCAAAAGGCAAGUGAUGCAACCGAAACCGAUCAUCAAAUACCGGCCCACAUAGGAAUCGGCGAGAAAGGCCCCAAGAAUCGGCAGAAAACUCGAAGCAGCUGACCAAAAGAAGAGUACGUUCGUACCUUCUGUUAUUUUCAUGUUAUAUUCUCUGCACAGAUACAGUAUCAUGUUUGGCAUAAACCCAGUACUCGCCAUACUUUCAAAUGCUUCAUUUGCUGUCCACCAAAAAUAAAGCAAAUAAAAUAUAUUACACAAAAUUGAUCAAAAGGGUAACAACAUCAACAUGCAUGCAUGUAGUAUUACAUAUUAAAAGAAAAAGCACAAGAUUUUUAUUUUUUUUGGGGGGUAAAAUGAAUAACUUACCAAUGAUGAAAGGCAAGGUUCUGAUGCCACCCUUUGGGUUUUUGUUGAUCAAGAGUGGCUCUGUGAUCAUUUUCUUUUCUUCUGAACAUGUUUCCAUUUUGAUUCUUUGUUGCUGUUUGCCUGCUUAGUCUCCUGUUUCUUUGUGUUUAUGGAGACUAAUCUAUGUAAGGAGAUUUCACACGUAGUAGAUAAGAGAGUGUAUUGGCACUCACCGAAAGUGAGAAAUGCUAACAUGCAUGUGGAGAGCACUGAUACGAUAGAAAGUGGAAGAACAUCAACGAUGCAACCAAUUAACUAAAUAAUUUGUUUUCUUUUUCUUUCUUUUGAGAGGUACUAAUUUAAUUAAAUAAUUAAGAUGCUGCGUAUGGGGGAAAAAAUAUUUUAAUAACAACUGUUUAUCAAAGGAAUAGCCAAUAGUCUGUGAUUAGUUAAUGAAUUGGGAUAUUGUUUUGAAUUCUUUAAUCGUCCGAUGUGACUUCCACUUUAUGGGAAGUUGGAAGUUACGCCUAGUCAAAAGAAAGAAGUGGGAAAUUAAAAAGAUAAAUAUGUAAAUAAAGAAGUGGAAUGACUAGAGAAUGGCGGAAUAACACACAGAUCCCUCUAUUUGUAUAUUGUUUUAUUCAAAAUAUACUUGGUCUAUUUGCGUAAAACAGGUUCCCGACGCCUUCGGAAAUGAUAGUUACCCUCAUUUAGGGCCGAAUUUGAGCAGUACAUUAGUAAUGGAGUCAUGUUCUCACUAACCUAAAGCAUAAUACAACCCUUGCUUAUGGUGUGAAGUUUUGCAGCUCUCUCAUCUUUUUGUAUAAAAACUAUUAGCCUAAGAUUGUAUAAAAAAAUUUUAACCUCAAUGUAAAAAUAGUCUUUAAAAUUUUAAUAUUACAAACUAUUAUUGUAUUUCAUAUUAUAAAGAUCCCAAGUAAAUAUCAACAAAAGGGGAGUCUAGAUUACUAAAUAUAUAUGGAGAAGAAAGAGUAUAAAAAAUUAAUAAAUUAAAGGGAAAUCUUCGGAGAAAGGAGGAUCAUGAUAUGAUUUUAUUUUUUUGGUAAGGCAUAGCCAAGUUAAGACAAAAUAAAAUGGGGGAAUUAUCGUCCCGUACAUAUCAUGACAUAUCUAGUGACCUAAUCUAGUGGAAGGUUCUUAGAAAACAUGAAGGUCAAAGGGUAAAAAACCGGCAUUCUAAACUAAACAAUCAGCUGUAAAGUUGGUUUCACGAUAGAUAUGUCUAAUGGACACAUAUCAGUUCCUUCUUAGAAGAUUCUUAGUCGAUUUUAUUAGAGGCGUGUGCACAUUGGGGCUGUGAUCUCGGAAUCAAUCAUUUGAAGGAUGCAAAGGUUGUUUACUCUGGCCUCUAAAAUUCGAAUGCCAUGGUUCCAUACGAGUUGGAGUCCUUGGUAAAGCCCCCAAAAUUCCGCCAUACAAAUGGAACAAAAUCCAAUGUUCAUCCUAAAACCCGUAACCCGUUUUCUGUUGGAAUCACGAAUUAAGCCCCUUGCACUAGUUGCUCCAUUAAUAGACAUGUCUAAUGAUAUGAUUUAUUUGAAGAACAUAUCCAUGAAUACAACUAUACAAGAAAGAUGACUGGACUAAGGUGUGGCUGCUCAUAUCUUGGCUAUUUUAAUUGGGAUUCAGGACUUGUUUGAUAUAAAAUGAUAAAAUGUGGCCGUUGUUUUAGAAAAUAAAUAGAGAACAAGGGAUACAGACGUUAUUAUCUACGCUCAAGCUCAACUAAACAGGAGUUGCUGGAGUCACGACACCACAUCCUUUGAAUUUACUUAAAGUAAAACAGUAAAAAUAAAAAAAAACAACGAAAAUGCGACACCACUUCUUUUUCAUUGUUUCAAACGCUAAACUUGCGCACUUGGUUACACGUACCCGUGUCGGUAUUUUAGUACCGCUUUCAGUUCGUGCUGUGGUUGCCCUCGGCACCGUGGUCCCCGGUCGGUGGCGUGAUGACGACAUGAACGAGAAGAAUCUACGCAUUAAAAUAUUGGUAAAGUAGAAUUUCAUUAAAUUUAUAAUCGAUAAAGGUGUUAAUUUGAUUGAAUAAAAUUUUUUAUAAAAUAAGUUUCCAAUGUUGCUUUCUUCUUCUAGAAAUUGAUUUGACUUUAUUUUCAUCUUUAAUUUUUGUAAUGUUAAAAGAAAUUCCAGCAUGGUGUAGUCGUUUUAUACUUUUAUGACAAGAAAUUAUUUAAUGUCCGUAUUGAUUAAAUUGUUUCUUUGCGUGAGAUAGUCUUUGUAGUAAAACUGUUAUCUUCAACUUCUUCCUCUUUAAUCUUUAUCAUUUUUCAUUACACUUCCAAUCACGUAAUCAUUGCUCAAAAUGAAAAUCAUAUCACACAGCUUGAAAAAAUCAUUACUCUAAUUAUAUUACAUCUAUACUUCAUAAAAAUUUAUGCUCUGAAUGUGAUAUUAUCUUUAUAAAUUAAUAUGAUUAAUUUAUUAUCUAUUGAUAGAUUAAUAUUCGUUAAAUCAAUAUAUUUUUAAUUUAUCUAGGUGGGACUACAUUAAAUUAUAAUAUCACAACGUUAUUGUAUGAACUCAUGUAUUCCAUAGCUGCAUUUUCUUGAUUAAAGGUGAAAGAACUUUCUGAAUUGAAGUGCGCAUAUUUUCUUUUUCUUUUUUUAAUAUAUAUGCACAGCAGCACGUGCAUGAAUGUGGCACCAUAUCUUAUCUCCUUGUAAAACAUUUUUGGAUUACACCACCUUUUAUUUCCUAUUCUUUAUUCUUUAUUCUUUAUUUUUUUUUACUGAGAUGACAAAAUAAAAAAUAAAAUUAAUAAUAUGAAAUAUUUAUUUUAGUUAUCAAUUAUUAUAUAUACGCAAUAAAAAAAUAUUUUAUAUACAUGUUUAUAUAUAUUAAAUUUUUUUUUUUCAAUUCAAUCAUUUAUAUUUGUACAACAGUUUAACAAUGAGAUUUACCAAACAUAUAUGAUUGUAUAGUUGAUUAUUUAUGUAGUACAACAAUUUUUUUUUAAAAGAUACAACAUUACCAAAUUUGCCCUAACUCAUAAUAAAAAUGAAAGGAUCUUUUAUUGAGUGGGAGAAUCGGAAAAAAACAUAUGAGAUCAUUCCAAACUUAAUUAUAAUUAUUUCUAAUCUUUCCCAAAUAAGGCAAGUAUCUCAAAUCCUAAUAUAACAAUAACUGACUUAAAUAAAAAAAAAAAGCAAAAAGAAAUUAAAUAGUAGAAUCUUUGACCUAAAAUUGGGUAGGGUUUCCCAAGUGAACGUGAUCUCAAUAAUCUAUAACCCAUAAGCAUAUUGUAGGCCUCCCUUCUUAUUGGAUCCGAAAGAACAUCACAGGCACCAUUUAUAAGCUUUUCAGCACUAUCAAUCAUGACAGAUGAGGAAGGACAUUGAUCCUGCUGAUGAUCAUGAAUCAAUACUUUUGCUAACUCCUAAUGUUUCUUGAUUUUAUGAAAUCCAGUGCUGUGAUCUGGAUACCAAGAAUCGUAUACUAGCUCUUCUUUUCAGUUGCAAGCUUGUGCACCGCAUAGGCUGCGUAGUAUUUAUCAAUUGCUGAAAGAUUAGGGUUCUUGGAACGUGCUCUCUUGAGGGUGUAGAGUGGGGAAUCAAAUUUUUUCUAAACUAUGAACUCUUCAGCCUUGUUCCUGAAGGCUUCAGCUUCCUCGUUUAUGAUUACGGAGUGGGCCUCUUCUUCAACUAUUGAGUUUUUUAAAUUUUGAUGAAUAAUUUUUGCAUCUUCCUCUUCUAUCAUUAGAGUGAAAGCCCUUGCGGCUUUUGACGAGUUAUUGUUUAAUAUUUGAGAAGCCAUAUUCUCCAACUUUGAUGAGAUUUUAAUUAAGAAGCGUUUCAUGUUAUAUAAAAUAUGGAGAGUCAAAAACCGACAUCGGUUUGAUUUAAUUUUUUUGCAUGGGUGGUGGGUUUGAAAGGUCCGCAAAUAAACUCCUAAUUUGACUAGGAGAAGGAUCUUCUUCAAAAUUAAAUUAGAAUACGUACAAAUUAAUUGGAUUGGGAUUUCGUGUUGAUCAGAGAGUACAAAUUAAUUGGAGUGGGAUUUGGUGUUGAUAUGAAAUUUUGCUCACAAUCUAAGGAGAUAAUGACAUGCGGCAAGAUUUAUUUUCCUCAUUUUUUUCUCUCUUCGGUCAAUCUUAAACGACAGCGUAUUAUUAGCUACUUCUACAUAUGGAUUUUUCCCAAACUCAAGUCAUGAGCGUAAAACACCAACAAAAUAUCUUAGCACCAGACCAGCCACCACAUGAAGGAAAGGCUUGAAGUAAAAGUUUUUUAGAUUCCGAUUUCAACAAGCAGAAUAAACUUUGCCAUUUUUCUUAAUUUGCUUCUUGGGUGGGUUUGUGGAAGUUAUAAGAUUUUGACUUCAUUGAGCAAAAAAAGAACUUUUGUACUGUGUAAUUGGGUCUUUGUUUAAUUUUGUUUCUCACUUUCUCCUUCAUCCUCACAUAAGCGGAAGAAAGAUUAGGGAAAGAUUUUGAUAAAAUUUAAGAAAGUUUUCAUUUUUUUAAUACAUAACUUUGACAUUUAAAAGUCUAAUUCCAUAUAUAUAGUGUCUUAUGUAAGUUAGUAUUUGAGUGCUUUUACGUACAUUCUUAACUGCUAAUAACACGAUCACAAGAGCACCAAGAAUGACAAUUUUCAAUAACUAUAUUUUCUAAAUUAAUAUCAACUUAUAUCAUUCACAAAUUAAUUUUAGUAGUUAACUGAUCAUAAAAUUAAGUUUUGAGUUGUGAAAUAAUUACAAGUCGGCAAUUUGAUAGACAAAAAUUAUUUCCCCGACUUAAGCAAUAAAAUCAAACAAAACCAGGAGAAUUGUUAUAAAACGAUCUUUUACAAGGUAAGAACAAAAUUGAUCCUUAAUUAUAGGAACAAGUUUGGCGAUUUCAGUGGUGGUCUUCUGAUCUUGACAAUCUUCCUGGUGACGGCACGAUGAUCAAGAAGCGGCAAAGGCGACGAUGCUGUUGAUGAGGAUGCAGAGCUUGGGUUUCUGAACGUUUCUGAUGAUUUAACGAACUGAAAAUUAAUAAUUUUAUUAUUCUUACGAUUAGUAAAGCCCAUGAGCAGGUCAUAGGCUUCCUUUCUUCUUGCAUCCGAAAGAACUUCCCAAGCUUCAGUUACAAGCUUGUUUGCAUUCUUUGCUUCAACAAAAGAGCACAUGUUCGGCUGCUGAAACAAUGUAGACAAGACCUCAUAAUGUUUAUUGAUUUCUUCAACUCCGGCGGCGCCGCCGCCGUGACCUUCUUUCAGACCAAGAACUCCGUACCAGCUUUUAGUUUCGGAUGCAAGCCUAUGCACCAAGUACGACGCCGUGUGUCUGCCAAAGCCAGGAAUGUCAUUAGGGUUAAGGUUCUUGUUCUUAUUAGUGUCGUGCAGUACUGCCACAAUGGCACGUAGUGUGUCUCUGCAUGCCUCUGUAUCCUUAUCGAUCAAGUACCCUUUUGCUAUGCCAUCUGCAGCAUCCUUAUAAGCCAACGGAGAAGCCAUCGUUGAACUCAAACUCGCAAAUAAGACUGAGAGUGGAGCAGGUGUGUGUUCGUUUUGUUGGAGAUGAUGUGAAAGCGUCUGUAUCUGUGAUGUGCUUUAUAUAGAAUUAAAAUCCGACAUCGUUUAGGUUUCCUAUGAAUGCACGGUUAGGUUUCCUUUUAUCCUCUUGUCUUUAAAAUUAAAUAAGAAACCGUGUACAUCAAGAUACAAAAUAAAUGGUAAUUAAACGAGAGCCGAUCUUAUUUCAUAAAUUUUACCACAAAAAAUCCAUUUUUUUACAAGCAGGUAAAAGAUUUGUAAGAUGUAGUAGCGUAGUAAGCAGAUCAAGUUAUACAACUUGUGUACUGAGAUGGAAUACUUCUACACUUUUUUUUUCUUUUCGCCCAAGUCAUUGUCCAUGAUUGGAAAAGCACCAUGUCCAACAAUUUCAAUACCCUGUGCUUUUAUUCAUUUUCAAAACUAUGAUGAAGGGAAGAACCUGCUGAGGUUACAGGGCAGUGAAUAGAAGUCACUGGUCCUGGCAUCUCGAUUAAAAUACAGGAACUUCCCCCACCAAUGCCUGCCACAGUCUUGCCGCGUUGCGCUGUGGCCUAGACUGUGAGUGCAAUCCAAGAAGUACGCAACAAUGAUUGCCACGGUUGCUGGUGACGAGAAAAUCACUUGCAUCAUGUUGUUGAACUGUAUGCACAGCAAAAAUCAGAAAGUUAGCUUCACUGUUGUAUGGCAAGUACUCUGAAUAUUGCUGUGUAUCGAUUAUACGCACUGAUGUUGAAGCAGUGUGCACAGGGUCGUGUCCGGAGAUGUAAAGGUACUCGUUGAAGUAACGUGACACGGAAAGGCCUGUGAAGAGGGAGAAGCCUAAAAUGAACUUUGACCUGAAGCUGUUGAGGUUGCAGAAUUGCAGGAGGCCUAAACCUGCUGAAGCUGCACAUCCCACGGUUCAUGACAAUCAAAAAGUCAAGUCAAAAUGUUACGUGUUAGUGGAGAUCAAGUUACGCCCUAUGCAUACCCACGUAGGCGAAGAGGACACAGUACAAGGCCGCCACGAUUGGCAAUGGGAUAGAAGCUAGAAUAGCACCGAAUUUGCCUGUUAGCAACAUGCAUUGUGGCACCAUCAGACUCAUGAGUGAAACAAAAACAAUACAAAUGUUCCAGGACUAGCUUGUACUGCCAUAUGGAGUACCACACCUAGUACAGAGAAGAAAAGCAUAAAUCCUGCUGAUAUCUGAACAACUCUACGACUUCCAUUCCGUGUUAAUCCCAAAAGACCUGCAUUUUCACUAGAAAAAAAGCAACAAAACUUUUGAUGGCUCAUAGUGUCUUGGAGAUCAUUUUGCCAGGAUAGGGGGGACAUGCACUGGCUAAAACACCAAGCGCGGUAAUCAAAACAAACUCAAAAAGUUAAAAAUCUCCCUACACUGAAGCGGCGCAGCCACUUCCUGUGCCAAAGGCUCCAUUCAGCAAUAAACCUAAUCCCUGAAAUUCAAUAAAUCAAACCAAUGACCCUGAUUUUAGAAUCCACAAAUAUGAAACAUAGAUGACAAAAGUGGAAUGGCGUAGAAUCCUUUGCUAAUACCUGCCAACCAAUGCCGCGGCUGAGUACACAAGGUGGCAUAGGAGUGGCACUACCAUACCUUGAUGCUGCAAUAAAUGUACCCGUAGACUGCCAAAGAAAAGAAUGAAACAAGUUGAUCUCAGUAGAAUCAUAAUGCAGAUUCUCGAUAUACAGGUUUUGAAACCCAUGAGCGAUAAGCUGAAGCAAAAUAAUUUUCACAAGCGUUCAAAUUUAUGAUCUAUGUCUGGCAGGUUCCAGCACCAUGCUUAGCUCCCCACAAAGCCGAAAACAUUAAAAUAAAAAUCAUUUCAUGAUCUUCAAUUCCCGUAACAGCUAGUCGCAUAAUAAGAAUUGCUCUUUAUAAAUCAAACCUCAAUAAUAGCAACAAAAGAAGCAGCCAUCAUGGCAAAAGCAUCACCAGCAUUGAAAAGAGGGGGACCCCAUUGAAGAGGAAAUGGAACCAUUAUCCUGUGAAGGAGAAGCAAAACAUUAUUGAAGGUCAGAAUAAUACCACUAGUCCUCAAUGAAUCAUUUACGGUAACUAAUAUUAGAUAAAUCUCUUUAAAGAAAACUUAAUUGAAAAGAAUAAUUUUACCAUGGAGCGGCAGUAAUGAGUCCAGAACGAUCAGUACGACAGCUAGUUUGUGUGCUUGGAGGUCUAUUAUCAUAUAGUCCGGUUAAGGUCAAAAUUUCAGCAUAUCCCCACACAAUAGCAACAGUGAAUAGGAUUGCAAAUCGGUCAAAUAUGGCUCUUUUGGAUUUCAUCACAUGGGGAAGAUACUGCAAUGAAUCAGCUAUAAAAAAGGAUUAGACAAAAUAACACCUGAUGUAGAGAGAGCAUAAAGAGGACAAUAGGCAGCGGUCAGGAACUUUAAACCGAGCACCCCAUGCUAUGUUCCAAGGCAGAGUUUUUCAAGUAAAUAUACAAUUUCAGUUGACUGAAAGACAAGAGCAAUUAAAGAAUAGAAUUGACCUGAGACAAAAGAACCAGUAUUAUCAAUGCUGGGAGUCCAACCUCGAUGCAUUUUGCCAGCUACAAGCACAAAACAAAGGAUAAGCUAACUUCUUCUGUUUUUGCUUUGAAGAAAGUAGCACAACCCUAUGCAAUUAGCAAAAGCACUUUAAAUGGUUUGGGCUCGCUGUCUUACCUGUGGGAAGCCAUGUGCAUACAGUCCUAGUCCAGUUAGAGUUACUAGAGGGACCGCGGCAAGAGGGUUAAGAAAUCUGCAUCACAAGAAACCGAAGCAAGUAAAUAUUGAAAUUACUGAAUGCAAUGAGGCAGCUUUCGUGACAUUCUACCUUCCAAAUAUUGUUCCGAAUCCAAAAAAUCCAAUUAGCAUGUUGAAGAGUGAUGCCAUAAUGAGUGCCCCUUGCAUAGUUUUCAUGGAUUCUUUGAACCUCUGAAAAAUGGAACCAUCAAAGACAGGCACUUUCUUAACCAUCUAUGAGCUUAACAAAGCAAUAACCAACCUGUUCAGGAUCUGUGUAUAUGUUGAAUCUAUUGGAGGCAGCAAUGGAUAUAGAGGUGAUAUUGAAAGCAUAGGAACCACCCAUCACCACAGGAAGCCGGGUUCCAAACGAAGUCUGCAAGAGUGUGUUUAUGCCCGCAACAAAGAGCAAAGUGUUGAUUACUUGAGCCUUCUCUACCUAUUAUUAUCAACAUGAUUAGUGAAAUUUGAAUGAAUAAUGAGAAAAAGUGCAUCUAAUUAUAGAAAAAUCUCCCGAAAAGUCAUUACAUUGCCUCCACCCAUUAAAGGCACAAGUGUUGUUGGAAUGAUCACAGUGGUUCCAAGCAUUACUAGAUAGUGCUGGAAUCCUAGAAUCAUUGCUUCAGCUGCAAUCAAUGUAACAAAUAUUAGCACUUAAUAAUUUAACAUAAGAAAGCUAUGUAUAAGUAAAUCAAAGUACUGUAAAUUUUCAAAUUAUCACCUUCUAAGAUUAAAAAAAGCACAAUUCAAUUAAACUAGAAGCAAAAUUUGAACCGAAAAGAAAGCUUGGAAAGGAAAAACAGAGUAUUCAAGCAAUGGAGCCACACUGAUUAUAUAAAAACAUGAGGAAAGGUUGUAAAAUUACACCAAGGGGGUGAGCUGGAGACACAAAAGUCGACGCCGGGAAGCUGUUCUUUAACAGGAUGUGGCUGACACUCAUCAGGUUUUGAUGCCAUUCUGCUCUCAAAUCAAUGACUUCCGCAGCACUUUGUGUCACUGGUUUCUGUCUUAAAGAGCUCCGCAGAUAGAAGAAGAGUGUAGUCUAAGGAAAAGGGAAAGCACUAGUGCAAAAAUGGGAACUAUUUAUUGCUGAAUUAAAAUCGUUUAAAAAAUCUAAUAAUGAUUCUUAUAAGUUACAGAAUAUAAAGUACAAUCAUUACAUAGUUAUUACUAAUUCUUAGUAUCACAACUAGCCGUUAUUCUUUUAAUAAGGUCAUAAUUAGCUUAACAUCAAGGCUAAAUUAUAGGAAACGAUAUUCCAUAUUAUAUCACAUACAUAAACUAAGUAUUAUGCUUUGAGCAACUAUGAAAAUGAAAGUAUCUUGCAGUUGAAGGAACUGCUAGUACACGCGAGGGCGUUGCCUCUUUGUUUUUGUGACACAGCUUUUUAGUAUGCUUCUUAUUGCUCAAGGUCUUGUUUUUCUUAAUUUAAGAUUUUAAUAUUUAAUGCUACUGAAAGAAAUAGAGAGAAUUGCAAAAGGGUAUUUUUGUAAGUUUUGCGGAUCUUAUAGGAUGUACUUCAUAGAUUCAAAUACCACAAUGAGCAUUACACGAAAACAAGCCACAUCAAAGAUUCCAAGUUAAAGGGCAAUCGAUUUUCCUUCAACACUAUUUUCUUUACAUCAAAUGUCAGGUUUGUAACAUAGUAAAGGGCUUUCUGAUCCUUUACUAGAACCUGCAGUGGCAAAUUCUAAAGCAUCUAUAAAAGACUUGUAAUUACAAGCUUGGCCAGCGGCUCAAGUUUGUUGCAUCAUCUCUGAUUUUACAUAUUUUCAACAGAGCAGCCAUUGUAAAACCUCCAAACUUAGAAUGAAGGGAAGAACCUAUUAAGGUUCCAUGGCAGCGAAUAGAACUCUUCGCUCCUGGUAUCACGCUCAAAAUAGCGGAACUUCGCCCACCAGUGCCUGCCACUGUCACGCCUUGUUGCACUGUGCCCAAGACUGUGAGUGCAAUCCAAGAAGUAAGCAACAAUGGUUGCUACAGUUGCCGGGGACGUGAAAAUCACUUGAAUUAUGUUGUUGAACUGUAAUCAUUGAGGAAAAAAAAAUAGAAUUGGUUUAGGGUACUCUAGUAAAAAGCAAACAAACAAUGGUGAGGCUAUCAAACAAGCUAUGUGUCUAUUAUACCGAUGUUGAUUUAGUGUUCAGUGGGCCGUGUCCAGAAUUGAGCUGAUACUGAUUGAAGUACUGUGCCACUGAAAGGCCCAUGAAGAGGGAGAAUCCUAAAAUAAACUUUGACCUGAAGCUGUUGAGGUUGCAGAAUUGGAGGAAACUCAAACCUGCCGCAGCUGAACCCGAAAUACAAAAUCAGAUGGUGUUGAGAUUGCAGUAAUUCACUCAAGAGACUAAUUCAGCCUUUUUUUUUUUUUAUAAAGAUGUAGACGAGAUACAUACCCACAUAGGCAAAGAGGACACAGUACAGAGCUGCCACAAUAGGUAAUGGAAUAGAGGCAAGAACAGCCCCGAAUUUUCCUGUCACCAACAUUAAUUAUGAUACCAUCGGACACGUAAGUAUCUCUUUUGCCAUAUUUUUAACUAAAAAUGAAAUAUGUCCAAUACUAAGAUCCUAUUUCAAGGGAAAUGCACUUGAACUGUACUGAGUGAUCAGUUAAGCCAAAUUAGAGAACAACACGAGAGAAAUUCCAGGACUAUUUAUGUGGAUACAUAAAGAACCUCACCUAAUAUGGAAAAGAAAAGCAUAAAUCCUGCUGAUAUCUGAACAACUUUUCGACUUCCAUUUCGUGUUAAUCCCAAAAGACCUGCAUUUUCACUGAAAAAGCAACAAAACCUGUUAGCUCACAGUUUUGGAGGUCAUUUUGCUAGGAUUGGCACAUGCACAGGGUUACACACGCAAGUGUGACAAUUUCACUGACAGCUGUGCACAUUCCGAGCUAUGUGAGAUUUUACAAGUAAAUCAAAGUAUCCAAUAUUAAUUACAGAUUGCCAUUAACCAAUUUCACUGUUUCAUUUGAUGCACAUAAUUACAGUUUAUGCAGGUAUUGAGAUUCUAUGCCUAAGCAGAGAGGAGGAGUCAUAGUGGAGAUGCCCUCAUCAUAAAGACUUCUUUAAAAAAAGCUAUUCACUAACUUCAAAAGUUUAAACUUUCUUACACUGAAGCAGUGCAGCCAGAUCCUGUACCCAAAGCACCAUCCAGCAAAAGACCUAUUCCCUGGAAUUCAGAAAAUCAAACUAGUGAUCUUGAUUUGAGAACCCAGAAUUACGGACUAUAUAUAAUAAAAGUGCACAUAGCAGAAUCCCUUACUUGCCAACCAAUACCGCGGCUUAGUACAGAUGGUGGCUUAGGGGUGGCACUCCCAUAUCUUGAAGCUGCAAAAAACGUACCUGUAGACUGCUCAAUAAAAGAAGGAAAAAGGUUCAUCUUAUUAGAAUCACAAUACAAAUGAUCCUUCCUUAUGAUUUAAACCUUGCAGCACCAUUCUUAACUGCCCCCCCUCCCCCCCUCAACAAGCCAAACCAAAAAACAAAAAGAAAAAAAAGGCAAAACAGCUUGCAUCAUCUCAUAAUCUUCAUUCCCAGUUAGGAGUUAAUCACAUGUUCAGAAUAGUUCUUUAUAAAUCAAACCUCGACAAUAGCAACAAAAGAAGCAGCCAUCAUAGCGAAUGCAUCACCCGCAUUGAAACGGGGGCUUCCAUACUGAAAUGGAUAUGGAACCCGUAUCCUACGUCGGAGAAACAAAAUUAAAGGUCAUAAUAAUGCCAGUACUCCUCAAGGAAUCAUUUGCACUGGCUAAUAAUUUUACAAGAAUUUCAAUUGGGCUGUUAUGUAUAAGCUCACCAUGGAGCAGCUUUAAGAAGUCCAGCACGAUCUGUGCGACAGCUAAUUUGAGUAUUUGAAGGUUUAUCAUCAUAAGCACCAGCAAGAGUCAAAACUUCAGCAUAUCCCCAUACGAUAGCAACAGUGAAGAGGACUGCAAGUCGGUCAAAUAUGCCUCUUUUGGAUUGCAACAUAUGCGGAAUAUACUGCAAAUUAAGAAUCAGUCAUCCACAAUGUUAGACAAACCAAAAUAAAUUCAACAUAAACUCCAUUAAGUGAACAGUGAGAAGGAUCAUUGUUUUUAAAUUUUUUAUAGAUUUAAAGACAAGAACAACUAAGAAUAGAUCUGACCUGGGAUAAAACAACCAAUAUGAUUAAUGCAGGGAGUCCAACUUCAAUGCACUUUGCCAGCUAUAAGCAUCCACCAAAGAGAAGAAAAUGUCAUUUUCAGAAAAGGGGUAAUUGUAGAGGUGAAAAUGCAACUCAACACAAAGAGUUAUGCAGAAAAUAGAAGUCAACAAAGACUUUCCAACCAUAUCACAUGUAAUUUAAAAGAUUAAAUCAAUGAGACACAAAGCCAUAAAGAUCCCUCGGUCGAAAUUUCAUUACAACAAAGAUCCAGAACCAGCAUUUUAAGGUUAGUAAUCUAAUGGUUCUUGGCCAAACUAUUCAGAGAUGUUAAUUAGCCUGGAAUUUUGUGAGUCUAUGACCAGCUCAUUGUGACAUUGAGCAGCAACUAAGCAUGAUAGGAACAGAUAAAUGUUAGUCACAGAAUAAGUACAUUAAGGAGUACAGGAGUUAUUCUACUAAUAUCAAAAGUUGUCCCCAAAAAUCCAGCAUAUGACUACAAAUAAACAUAAACAGCUGACUAGUAACAGAAGUGAUACUCUUGACCGCCUAAACUUCAACGCUACGUUUUUGUAAUAGGCAGUGUAAAUUUAUAUAAGUUAGGGCACAAGGGACUUCAUUUUUGAGCUGGCUGAAAAUUCUUUCGAAGCCAACAGUAUGGAUGUAGGAAAAGAACUAAGAAAAUUGCUUUUUUAGCUCGGGAAAUGACUCCAAACAGUUUGGAAGCAGAGAAGCAUAAUUAACAUUAGCAAAUAAGGUCAUCAAAAUUGAACCAAAAUUCCCCAUUUCAAAACAAGAUGAAAACGCAUAUUAAACUAGCCAUUUCUGUUUUUGCUUUGAAGAAUGAAGAAAACCCUUGGCAUUCUUACCCUUGGGAAACCUAGUGCAUAUAGCCCUAGUCCAGUAAGGGUGACCAGGGGAACCGCAGCAAGAGGGUUAAGAAAUCUGCAUCACAAGAAACCGAAACAGGACCACAAUAUAAUAUCAGCUUCAUGACAAGAUAAGACUUCACCGAAUCUAUUAAGGCAGUUAAGCUACAUCCUACCUUCCAAAUAUUCUCCAGAAGCCAAAAAAACCAAUUAUCAUGUUGAAGAGUGAUGCCAUAAUGAUUGCUCCUUGCAAGGUCCUCAUGGAUUCCUUGAACCUCUGCAAAUAGCAAAAAUUCAUUAUAUUAAUUAACAACCAACUCAUGCUCUUGAUAUCCAAAAAAUUAGAGAAGCGCAGAAGAAAACGGCAGACCAACCUGAUGGGGAUCAGUGUAUUGCUUGAAUCUGUUGGAAGUAGCGAUGGACACAGCAGGGAUAAUGAAAGAAUAGGAACCCCUCAUCACAACCGGGAGCCGAGUUCCAAACAAAGUCUGCGAGAGUGUGUUGAUGCCCGAAACAAACAGCAAAUUGUUGAUGACUUCAGCCUUCUCUACCUGUUCAUCAACAACAUUACAGAAGCAUUUGAGUCAACAGAAAUUGUAAACAUGAAUUAGAACUUUUUUUCUCAAAACACUCCUUACAUCGCCUCCGCCCAUUAAAGGGACAAGCAUAGAGGGAAUGAUAACUGUAGUUCCAAGCAUUACUAGAUAAUGCUGAAAUCCGAGAAUUAUCGCCUCGGCUGCAAUUAAUGUAACAAACAUCAGCCGUUGCUGUAUUAUAUGUAGCAAUUAAUAAGGACAAUUUUUUAUUACAAGAAAAACACAAAACAUUUUCCUUCACUUAUUGAUAUUAGUUUCAAUUUCUUCAGUCUAUCACUUAUUCUUUACAUGCUUAGAGGCGUAUCCAAGCAAUGCAUUAUUUAUAUUUUGAACGAAAAGAAGAGAUAGAAAAGUUACGCCAAGGAGGCGAGCUGGAGACGCAAAAGUCGAUGCCGGGAAGCUGAUCUUUAACAGGAAACGGCUGAAACUCAUCGGCUUUGGAACCUCCUCCUCCUCCUCCUCCACCGCCGCCAGCCAUUGUUGCACCGUUUCGCCUUUCUUUCCUUUGUUUCUGUUCAAGCAGGGAAGCUUUGCUUGUCUUUAGAUAUAGAGGCGAGAGAGCGAGGAAACGUGUCGUGCAAGAAACAGCCAGAGCAAGCACACUGAUGACGGAUUGAUGAUCAUGGUGAUGAGCUGAGACACUUAAACAAUUAGGACAGGUUAGGCCGCGUCGUUAUGACUUAUAAUCACUAAUGUUUUUGCAAAAUUAUAAUUCAAAAUAUAUACAUUCUACUUGUUUAUUUAUGAAUUUUGCUACAGUUGUUGAAUCGUUUCGUGCUUUGAUUUAUUAGCGGAGACUAGAGAACGAGAGAAAGAGAUCGGAAAGCUACCUACUGCAGCUGCUUGAGUGUGACAGAUUCUCCACUGACACAAAUAAAAAAGCUAGCUCUUUUUUGCCUUCUGAAAGCAUCCACACUGCAGAGUUGAAAUUAAUUUUUUUUAAAAAUACAACAAUGAACUAAUUAAUUAGUAUAUUUUGGAAGAUGCUGAACUAACUUGUAAGUUUGAUACCACCAUAAUUCAAAAUAAUAAUAAUAAUAAUAAAAGGUCUGAUACCACCAGCAUGUUGUUUGUUUUCAAAUGUGGAAGAGUAUGAAGAUGACAUGGAGCUUGUGGGUGAUGAGUCGUUUUAAAGCGUUACGACUUGCGUUUUGAGCUUUUUUGACUUUCUUCUAAAAGAUUCGGACAAUUUCAAUGCUCAUUAAUUGCCCUGAAAUGCUGAAUCUGAAUGGAAUUUGAAUUUUUUUUCUUUUUUUAAUAAUUUGUUAAUUCCUUACUAACUAACUUACAAUGUCUUCAAAAUAUGCCCUAAGAAAAAUAUAAUAUUCAAAUAGGAUCCGCUUGAAUUUUACAUGAACCGUAGGUUACAAUACAAUUUAGCAUCACCCCGUUAGUUACACUUCGAUUUUUGAAUAUUGUUUUUAUUUUUUAUUUUUUAUUUUUUUGGUACGUAUGGCGUCGCUUGUAAUUAUCACAGGAUAUUUACAGGUCAGUGCAGCAGAGAUAAUGUGACGGACUGGCAGACAUCUCCCUGUCAGUGCUCAGUAGCUGCAGAAAAUCCUUCACACGUGUUACGAAAAAGACCAAAAAGUACUCGAAAUUUAUUAAAAUCUCAUAUUUGCCCUCUCCACGUUUUACAUAAUUAAAUAAAGGGGUAGUAUCUUUUGUAUACCCUGUAGAUGUUUUAUUAUAAAAAAUUACUGUAAUAUUUUGAGUGUGUAUCAAUUACUCACUUUAAAUUGAUAAAAAUUAUCUGUCGACUACCAAAUAGUUAGCUGCCGUUUAAAAGUUAAUGGAAUUAUAACGAAUUGACAAUUUUACCCUUGAAAAAUAUCACUUGUAUACCAUAAAAUUAUUUUAUUAUCACUUGUAUACUCUUAAAUUAUCACUUGUAUAAAAUGAAAAGACCAAAUUACUUCUCUAGAGUUAUUCUAUUUAAACGGUAAGUAACAGUUUGGUGGACGGCAGAUAUAUUUUUUCAACUUAAGGUGGACAAUUAAUACACCCUCAAAAUAUUAUAAUAUUUUUUAUAACAGAAUAUCUAUAGAGUAUACGAAUGAUAAUUUCCCUUAAAGAAAUGACAAUUCAAAAGAAUAAUAAUAAUAAUACUCACACGUGAAAUAUGACAUGAAGUUAAUCAAAUUAACCCCCAAUAAUAACUUACGUAUCGAACUUUAGGCUAAAAUUAUUCAUCAAACUUAACAAUUGAGUUGUUGGUAAUAUUCAAAACUAACGAGAUUUGAUUUUUUUAUACAUGUUUCAACAACAAUUCAACUGAAUAUUGGUGAAAUUUUGUCUUGUUCGAGUACUACCAUGAGAAUGCAAAGAACGUGGACGAAUAAAAAAAUGGCCAGAUGUCAAGUAUUGAAGUGUAAUACAAGAACUGGGCCGAAAGUGUGGCCUAAAGUGCAAAUUUGAAUUACAAUUCCAACUGUGAUUGUGUAAAAUUUACUAGUGUAAAUUUCUUACUUUUCAUUUUAGAUAGGACCAAUUAUCAACGUUAAUGCUCUCUUAAUUAGCUAGUGGUAGAUUCACCAAACUAACUUAUCCUCCAUGCAGGAGCUGAAAAUAGGGUUGAAUGGUAGAUAAAUUCGGACCUCCAAAUAUGAACAUUUUCCCCUAGUGCAUGGUUUUUCAAUUUGUCAAGUUAAUCCAAAUUACUUAAAAUUAGUUAACCAUUUAUGAUUAAAGUUUUAAAGUGGAUUUACAUUCAUUGCACUUUCCAUAGUUUUUUUUUUCCCCUUUUCUUUUUGGGUUAACUGAACUGUUUUAAGUUUUCUUGAUUCCCACUCAAGCACUCAAAUGGAGAUUGAUUAGAAAUUUAUUUGUAGAAAAAAUAGCAAUGUAGAAGGCACAAAAUGCAACAAAAUAAAUAAUUAAGUCAAACGCUGGUUUCUUUUUGCAAAAGUUUGUCUUAUAGAGACGGAACUAGUAGUCAAAGGAAAGUGUGCCAACCAGUAUACUUUAUUCCUGAUUGAUUUAUUUGUUGAACAAUAAUAAUCCAAAUUGGACAAUACAAAGGGGAAUAACACAUGCCCAAUUCGGACGUUUAUUUUAUUUGUUCAUUUAUUUAUUUUAAUAUUACUUUACAAUAUUUACAAUGAGACAUUUAUAGAAACUCUUAAUGACUUGAUCAAUCAUGUGAUGACGCAAUUAAAAAAUGAGUAGUGCUACACAUCCCAACAUUUUUAGUUUAAAAAGUUAUUCCAAAUGAUGUGGCAUUUAUCAAUUGGUUGGUGAGAUAAUACAAUUAAUUCACUUAAAUCUUGUAAAUAAUUACAACCACUCAAUUAAUGACACAUCACUUGAGAUCAAAUAUAUAUUUAAAAACUAUACAGUCAUCCUAAAUUUUUUUUAUCCCAAGAUUCUAUCUCAAAUGAUAUGUCAUUCAUUGAUUUGUUGAUAAUUCUUUAAAAAAUCUAAGUGGGUUAAUUUCUCACUAACCAAUUGAUGAAUGCCACAUUAUUCGAGAUAAUUUGAGAUGUGUAGCAGCGUAACUCAAAACAAGCCAAAUUUACUUUCAAGUUUGAAAGAAAAUCAAGCCAACCAAUUUACACGCGGCGAGUUGAUGUUUUUAUUAGUUGAUCACUUCCACUUUUUUUUUUUUUUUUUUUUUUUUUUUUUUUGGGUUUUUCAAGUGCUUUGUAGUAACGUUGUGGGCUUCGGGGUAUCUUGGUGCCAUUAAAGUGGGCUAAUGAAUAGGGAUCAUCAAUGUCAUGGAUAAACAUGGACCAAAUGUUUCAGGCCCACCGUAUUCUACAUUUGAGAAGUCACCGUACAUGAUACAGUUCUUGUUCUUGCCAACUUUGCACUUAAUAAAGGCCAAUUGCGUCUGUGUAUCCGCCAAAAAUAGUAUUGGAUUUUUCAAAUCGUAUAUAAAAGCAAAAUAACAAUCUUUUAUUUAAUUAAAAAAUAAAAUGUAAAAUCUAAACACAUACAGGGGCAGAUAUUCUGAAGCAUUUGGCUAUAGCCCCAACAAAUUAGAACAUACUCCAUUUCAUUCAAUGCUGAAAUUAUUUUUAAAAUUAUAAUGAUAGGGCCCGGUCGGGUCUCUAUCUGUCGGGUCAUAUUUUAAUUUUAUGAUAAUAUAUAUAAUCAAGUUUGCAGAGUUUAUAACUGGUCGCACACAAAAGGGUUUGUUGAAAACAAAAUAUAUAAUUUAUUUUAUGAUUUAUCACCUACUCUACGUUUGCAUCGUCCAAAACUCCCCUAAAUGAACCUUACUAUAAAUUAAAAUUCAAAUACGAGUUGAGUUUGUCUAUUGAAUGAUGACUUUUUUUUUUAUGACAUGAGACUAUUGCUCAAAUUACAACUCAUAUUACAUGAGAAUAUAACUGAUAUGUACAAUCAUAUAUAUAUACUGAGAUCUAUUGACAUUAAUACUGAUAUGACACUGCUCAGAUUUUUAUAAUCCUCUCAAAUAUUCGAGGGACGUCAAACUCCCAUCCUUGGAAAAAGACUGUCUUCACUCGAGCUCUGUGACUCCAAGGAAGGAAAUAUAAAUUAAACCCCCACAAUACGACUGCGGAGAAUGAUGACUUAAGACUUUAUUUCGCAGGCUCUCCUCGCUCUUUGGUUUGAAAAUGGUUAGGGGGGCCGGGCAGCCAAGAAAUCAUCUAUUCAAAAUGGUUUUGGUAUCAAAUUUUGAGUGGACUCAUAAUUCAUAUUAUAAUUUGUACAAGAAUUUCUUAGUACUUAAAAGUAAAUCUAGAGGUUUCAGUAGAUCUUUAAUCACAGGUAAUCAGUUAAUUUGUAAUAUAUUAAUAUUUUUAAAAUGAGAGUUCCCUUGUUUUAAUAAAAUAAGGACUAAAUUAAACUAUUUAAAAAAAAAUUACAGACUUAAUACAACGUGUUUUAUCAUAUAAAAUAUCUCUGGGCCAACGGAAGAGUCCGCAUAACUUCAAAUUUAUCAAGCUUUUUGUGCAACUAAGAGAAAUUCUAGAAUUCAUUUGAUUUGAUUAAUACUGAAUUAACAGCUUAACUACCAUUAAUUUGUCUAAAUGUGCCAGGUUGCUUUCAAAAGUUUCUAUCAAAUAUUGAUUUGCCAUUUUGCCUGAUCCUUGCCUGUAUGCACCAUACGCGUGGCUAAAACGUUUUCCACGUUGCGUCAAAAAUGACACUCUUCAAAAUAAUUAAUGCCUUUCUUUGUGUUUUAUUCCACGGUUAAUUAUCAUAUUGAAGUCAGUUGCUUUUUUAUCUUUUAAUUCCAUUCACGUUUUAAAAUUAUCUAAUUCGUCCACACUUAGAGCACUACCCUUAGCUACUUAUAUAAUAUCAUCAGAAAAGUUGAAAAAAAUAUAUAUAUAUUAGAAUGAAUUUUGAUACAUACAUAUUGCUCAAAAUAGUGUUGCAUUGUUAAAAAAACAUUGUAUAAAUCGAAUCAAUUUCUAUUUUAUAAAUUGCAUACGUUCACUUCCAAGAAUUCUCAAAUUAUAUAUAUCAACCUCUAUAAAUAUUUUUAGUCCAUAUUUAGUAUUGAGGUGCUGCAACUUUUAAAUUAUAAUUAUUGUAAAAAAAUUUAUAAUUAUAAAAUAAAAGUUAAUAAUAUGUAAUAAAUAUUAAUUUUAAACAAUAACUUUGAUAAAAUUAAUAAAGAUAUAAUAUAUUUUUCAUCAUAUAAGCGUAAAAUAAAAUUAAUUUACCUUUUAAGUUACAUCUGUUAGUGUUUAACAAAUACUUUAAUACUGUAAUUUUAAAAUUAUAGUUAUCCAACCUCAAUUUUAAAUGGCGCUUUUGUUGUUCAACUUUUUCAGGUGCAUUUACUUGCUUGCACUUUUGUGAUGUCCAUUAACCAUUUGGUGAUAUUGAGUUUUCAAUUAUUGAAGUACGAGAUGGAUUGAAAGUUGGCCGGGCAUCAGUAAGGUUAAAAUACAUAUUUAUUAAGUUAAUACCACAAAGAUUUUACUAAGUUAAUACAAUUUCUAUUUAGUGUAAUUUUACAAGUUACGUCUGAUACACCCUGAGCUAUAUUAUCACUGUAUAAAUUGAUUCGCAAUAAAUCAUUACUUGUUACGUGGAAGGAUUGUAAUAUAAAUUACGAAUGUGUUAUGUGUAUAUAUAGGAUAAAAUUAUGGUGUAACUGUGGUACUGUGCCACAGUUGCACCCAACUAUUGGAUUCCCACUUAUUUAAGUGGACCCUAUUUAUUUGAGUGGAUCUAAUAAUUGGUGUAAUUGUGGUACGGUGCCACAGUUACACUGUAGCCUGACCCGUAUAUAUAUAUAUGUUAAAAGUGAGUUCUUUCCUAGAAAAGAAGCAGCAAUUUUUAAUGAAUUUCUUUGAUGAAGUUAACGAAACAAUUAUUAACAAUAUUAUAUUAUAGACAACCAAAACUUUUAACUACAACCGAGGAAGGUAUAUUUAAACAAAAUUAUCGUAUUGGAGACGGUAAACUGAUGAUACAUUUAUGGAUAAAUAUUUGUUCACAUUAAUGUAGUUAGCGUACAAAACCAAAACUCAAUGGUAUGAAAAGUAUUAUUAGUUCAAUAGUUUGUACGAGGCAAAUUGAAUGAUGUUGGUGCUGCGAAGCAAUUAAACGUUUGAUGCAUAAGUCGAUUAUUUUAGGGAUAUUAUCAUUCGUAUAUUUUAUAGAUGUUAUGUUAUUAAAAAUACUAUAAUAUUUUGAGGGUGUAUCAAUCGUCUACCCUAAAUUGACAAAACAUAUCUGUCGACCACCAAACCGUUAGCUGCCGUUUGAAAGUUAACGGAAUAAUAGUGAAUUGAUGAUUUUACCCUUAAAAAUUAUCACUUGUAUACCCUUAAAUUCUUUUAUUAUCACUUAUAUACCCUUAAAUUAUCAUUUGUAUCAUAUGAAAAGAUCAAAUUACCCAUGUGGCGUUAUCCUAUUUAAACGGCAAGUAACGGUUUGGUGGACGGUAUAUAUAUUUUGUCAACUUAGGGUGAACGAUUGAUACACCCUCAAAGUGUUGUAGUAUUUUUGAUAACAGAGCAUCUAUAGGGUAUAUGAAUGAUAAUUUCCCAUUAUUUUAAGAGCAAUGUUGUUGUUGUUUUUUUUUUUAAAUUAUGUUAUAUAUAUAUUAUUACUGAUAUUAUAUUAGACAUUAAAAUUAAUAUUUACAAUCAUAUCCUACAACUAGAACCACCGCCAUAUAUUGACACACUGAAACAUUUGUUCAAAUACUUUAAACCAUCUCUAAUAUUCGAAGGGUGUCUACUCCACUCACAUUUCGUAAGGAAGAGACUGUCUUCACUCAAUUAAUUAAUAAUUGAGCGAAUAUUGAAACUAAUCUCCAUAAAUUUUUUUAUGAAGACUCGAACCCUUACACUAAACAAUGUUAUUUAGAUUAAAAAAAAGGAUAAAAAGAUAAAAUAUUGACAAAUACAAUAUAAGAUUGAUGGAUUUAUUCAUUUAAUUUAUAACACUGAAACCUUGACUCGGCCGGGUACAUUGUUUUUGUCGACAUUUUAUAACCGUUUGAUUCACAAACAACUGUUAACCUGCACAAUUCCCAAGGAGAUAAAAGAACCGGAUUUUGCUUCGACUGGACCAUAAUAUAAAAUAACAAUUCUUGGAGGGUCAUAUCAUAAAUAUAAUGAAUUACAAAAGGCUAAGCAAUAAAACUAAUCCUCUUUCUAUAUAUAUAUAGAUAUGGUUGGCUCUUCCCUUCAUUGUGCAUUUCCCUAAGCAACAUCCAUUUUAUCGACGCGUUUUGAACACGUAAUUUGACUAAAAUUACCAAAUUGGCCGAACUUCAACCUAUCGGGACUCUCAGAUUUGCCACGUCAUCGACCCCCGCUGACCUCUCUGUAAUUUUCCUUUUUAAAAAACUAUAAAAAUAUCUUCUUCAUCCUCUCUUGCAUAUAAAAAUUCGUACACAUCUCUCUCAUCAACCUAUUCUUCUUCUCAUUCAAUACUCGUAACAACUCUCAAACAAACCAACAGGAGAAUAAUAAAUAUAAUAAUAAGGAGAAGAAUCAAAUUUCUUUAGCAGAGGAUCAUCAGGAGCAAUGAGUUACUACAAUCAGAAUCAGCCCCCUGUUGGUGUACCCCCUCAGCAAGGUCCUCGCAUUCUUCAAUUCAUUCAAAUUGUUUAUCUGGUUUUUCAUUUUUUUUUUUUAUUUUGGAUCUGGGAACCAUUUUAAGUUUUUGUUCUUAAAUUUUGGAUCUGUAAUUGACUUUUUUUUUUGUUUUUUAAUUAUGGAUGUGUUUGGAAACGGGUGUUAGGUUAUCCUCCAGAGGGAUAUCCGAAGGACGCUUAUCCUCCACCGGGAUAUCCUCCUCAGCAGGGAUACCCCCCGGGUGGUGGCUAUCCUCCACAACAAGGAUACCCUGCGCAGGGUGGCUACCCGCCUACUCAGUACGCUCCUCAAUACGGCCAGCCUCCGCCUCCGCAACAAAAACAAAGCGUUGGUUGCCUCGAAGGAUGGUGAUUCUCUCUCUCUCUCUCUCUCUCUCUCUCUCUAUUGUACGUGCAUGUAUGUGUACACUGUGCCGGACCUUUGAUCUUUUGAUUUGAUAGUGUUCUUCGUAAUAGAGAAUCGACAAAUUUGGGAAAUCCCAUCAUACAAAUCUGUAAAUACGACGGGUCAACAUGCAAAUCUGAAAUUAUUUAGGUCAUAAUUAGGUGAAUUUUCAUGUUGGCUCCCUCCCGAUUUACCCAUAUCAUGACAUGGCCUUCAAAGGUUUGUUAAUUUCACUUUUGAGGCUCCCGGUCGUACUGAUAUGAUGGUGAAGGUUCCGCGCCACUGGCGGUGGCGACCGGUGAGUGAAAAGAACUAGGUAGAUCUGACUUCUGAGUUAACUCGUAGGGUGAGCAUGCGUACGUUAGCAAAACGUGCGCAGUUUUGGGUUUCGGGUUGUCUCUGUUGGGAAUUGGGAUUGGUUUGACCGUGGUUCAUGUCAAGGGUUGAGUUGUUCUCACAUGGAAUUAGGUGAGUUAGUUGAAGGGUAUUUCGGACAUUUUACCAGUUACAACUCUAUGUGGCAGUUUUUGCUAUUCCCAAGAAAUCUUCUUUGUCCGAUUGCGUUUUGAGUAUUUUUGCAAUUUUGGUAAUCUCGUAUAAGAGAGAAUCUGAGGAUAAAUAUCUGUUGACCACCUAAUAUUUUAUAUUUUAUUAAAUAUAGACUAGAAUUAUUUUUUUGUAGUUUUUUAUUUGAAAUUUACAAAGUGUGUUAUUUAUCUCCUUUUCUGUUAAUACCAUUGGAGGAUUUAACAAAAGUAUUAGUAAAUUAAAAAGUUUAUCCAUGAAUGUAAAAAAGCUAUUUUUAUUAGUUGUUAUUUUUGAUACUUUUGAAAUGUGCUGUUAUUUUGGACGGAUGAGAACAAACAGUAAACUCUUAAGUUUUUCAUAACUGGCUGUUAUUUUUAAUUAAUGGGAACAAAAUAUGUUGUUGACUGUUUCUCAUUACUGGUUUUUUAAUUAUUUUAAUAGAAUGCUUAUUUUAGUGAUUUUAUAUCUUUAAAUUACCAAGUGUGAUGAGUUUAUAUAGCUAAUUUUGUAGCCGUUAUUGGUCCCAACAGCUACAGUAUAUAUAUAUAUAUAUAUAUAUAUAUAUUUAAUUACAUUCAGGGGCAAAAUAGCUAUUUUAUGAAUAUUCUAUUGAGUUAUCGGGUAAGUGAUAUAUUUUGUAAACUUAACUUAAGGUGGAUAAUUGCAAAAGAAAAAAAGUUUUAGUGUAUUUUUGAUAAAGGUCGAACCAUAUGGUGGUCGGUAGACCCUAAAAAUAAUUAGUUGUAUAAUUAGGUGAUGGCUCAUUAUUAGUAAAUGUUAUUCUUGCUAUUAUUUCUAGUUCAAAAUUAAUCUAAAUUUAGCUGAAGCGUGAUAAUAACUACAAAUAAUUUGUGAGCUGUUGCAUUGAUUACAAAUAAUUUGUGAGCUGUUGCAUUGGUUAAGUCACUGCCGGCCCAAGGUUCCGAGGGCGAGUGCCUUCUCAUUUCUCAAUUUACAACAAUGAUUUAGCUUUUGGCUGCAUUGUAACUUAAAAGCAUUGAUCACGAAACUUGGUUUUAAUUUGGUUGUGUAACAUUUUUUGCAGUUUGGCUGCCCUGUGCUGCUGCUGCUUGCUGGAUGCUUGCUUCUGAUAAACAAUGAGUAGCAGCUUGAUUGAAGUUUGGUACUAAGGCGAAUUAAAUAUAAUUCAAUUCUUUAGUGUCAAAUCACCUGUUUGUGACUUGUUUUUAGUUUCUCAUGUGUAUUUUUUUUUUUUUCUAUCUUUCAAAUACCCUUACUGCCGUUUAUUUUCGUUAAUAAGAUUUGAGACUUUUGUUUGGAAGAUUCGAUUUCUAUUAUCAUAUGAUGAAAGGGCAGCUGACAUUAUGUAAAUAACCAUUGGAGAUUCAUAUGAAAGAAAGCUGUAACAGCUGUAUUAUCUCUAGAUUGUUCUUUUUUAAUUUUCAUUCUUUAGUUAAUGGGUAUCAUUUUUGUCAACUUUUUGUACGCAUAUUUUAAUUAAUUGAUUAAUUAUUAAGGGGCGGGGGGCCAUAUUAUGGACUGCCUGGCUGGAGAAAGGAACAUAUGCUUUUUAGGUUAUGGAAGAAGACAGAAGAAUGUCUUUGUUGGACUCCUGAAAUUUGAUUUUAGUUUGGAUAGAAUCAAAUGGCACUUUGCUUUCAUUUCAAGGGACAUUCAGGGAAUGAAAACGAGGAAAGAGAAGAUGAGAUGUGAUACUUGUGCUGUUUUAUUAGCCAAGUCAGUUGAAAUAAUUUUGCAUCAUUAUCAUCAAUUCACCAUCAUCAACUUGGCUCCUCCAAACCACAAAGAGACUCGCUAGUUGGUAAUCUCACCUCCAAAAAUGAAAAAAAAACAAUAAUUUGUUUUGGCUUGUCACACCUUUGCUUGCUUAUUGCCUAUUCAAUUGGAGGAUGACGGCCUAUUCUUGCACUAAUUAAUCAGUUUCCACUACAAAAAAAGAGUGCAACCGAAAAAGUGAUAUUCCCCGUUCCGCUUUGCCUCUUUACUUUUCUUGUAUUGUUUGGCUUUUGGUAAAAUAUCAUUGACCUCCCCUAAUAUUUGAUUGAAUCACAUGAAGCUCCUAAUUUUCACAAUUUAAGAAUACCCUUUAAAAUUUUGAAAUGUUUCAUUAACCUACACUAAAAGCGGACGGCAAAAUGAAAAAGUGAUUUCCGAUCGAGCUUAUAUGUAUUCAAGAAGUAAGAUAAAAUUGGAAUAAUGUCGUGUUAAAAAUAAACAUCCACGUCAUAUAUUAUGAUCAACCUCAUCUUUAAAAUCUUGCAAUAACAAGAAAAAAUAAAUUGCACAAAACCUCUAUACAUUUCCCGUUCGACCAACAAACAAUGGGUCAUUUCUUGAGGAAGAUAUGUGACGAAGUAAGUUGGAAGAGUGAAGUUGAUGGUGAUACAUUAUUUGGGUUUUAGAAUAGAUUAGAAAUAUGCCUAUUAGAGCUUGAAUAUGUUGCAUGCAUGAUUGAUGAAUACACUCUUUUGAGUUAUCGGGUAAGUGAUAUAUUUUGUAAACUUAACUUAAGGUGGAUAAUUGCAAAAGAAAAAAAGUUUUAGUGUAUUUUUGAUAAAGGUCGAACCAUAUGGUGGUCGGUAGACCCUAAAAAUAAUUAGUUGUAUAAUUAGGUGAUGGCUCAUUAUUAGUAAAUGUUAUUCUUGCUAUUAUUUCUAGUUCAAAAUUAAUCUAAAUUUAGCUGAAGCGUGAUAAUAACUACAAAUAAUUUGUGAGCUGUUGCAUUGAUUACAAAUAAUUUGUGAGCUGUUGCAUUGGUUAAGUCACUGCCGGCCCAAGGUUCCGAGGGCGAGUGCCUUCUCAUUUCUCAAUUUACAACAAUGAUUUAGCUUUUGGCUGCAUUGUAACUUAAAAGCAUUGAUCACGAAACUUGGUUUUAAUUUGGUUGUGUAACAUUUUUUGCAGUUUGGCUGCCCUGUGCUGCUGCUGCUUGCUGGAUGCUUGCUUCUGAUAAACAAUGAGUAGCAGCUUGAUUGAAGUUUGGUACUAAGGCGAAUUAAAUAUAAUUCAAUUCUUUAGUGUCAAAUCACCUGUUUGUGACUUGUUUUUAGUUUCUCAUGUGUAUUUUUUUUUUUUUCUAUCUUUCAAAUACCCUUACUGCCGUUUCUUGUUUUUAGUUUCUCAUGUGUAUUUUUUUUUUUUUCUAUCUUUCAAAUACCCUUACUGCCGUUUAUUUUCGUUAAUAAGAUUUGAGACUUUUGUUUGGAAGAUUCGAUUUCUAUUAUCAUAUGAUGAAAGGGCAGCUGACAUUAUGUAAAUAACCAUUGGAGAUUCAUAUGAAAGAAAGCUGUAACAGCUGUAUUAUCUCUAGAUUGUUCUUUUUUAAUUUUCAUUCUUUAGUUAAUGGGUAUCAUUUUUGUCAACUUUUUGUACGCAUAUUUUAAUUAAUUGAUUAAUUAUUAAGGGGCGGGGGGCCAUAUUAUGGACUGCCUGGCUGGAGAAAGGAACAUAUGCUUUUUAGGUUAUGGAAGAAGACAGAAGAAUGUCUUUGUUGGACUCCUGAAAUUUGAUUUUAGUUUGGAUAGAAUCAAAUGGCACUUUGCUUUCAUUUCAAGGGACAUUCAGGGAAUGAAAACGAGGAAAGAGAAGAUGAGAUGUGAUACUUGUGCUGUUUUAUUAGCCAAGUCAGUUGAAAUAAUUUUGCAUCAUUAUCAUCAAUUCACCAUCAUCAACUUGGCUCCUCCAAACCACAAAGAGACUCGCUAGUUGGUAAUCUCACCUCCAAAAAUGAAAAAAAAACAAUAAUUUGUUUUGGCUUGUCACACCUUUGCUUGCUUAUUGCCUAUUCAAUUGGAGGAUGACGGCCUAUUCUUGCACUAAUUAAUCAGUUUCCACUACAAAAAAAGAGUGCAACCGAAAAAGUGAUAUUCCCCGUUCCGCUUUGCCUCUUUACUUUUCUUGUAUUGUUUGGCUUUUGGUAAAAUAUCAUUGACCUCCCCUAAUAUUUGAUUGAAUCACAUGAAGCUCCUAAUUUUCACAAUUUAAGAAUACCCUUUAAAAUUUUGAAAUGUUUCAUUAACCUACACUAAAAGCGGACGGCAAAAUGAAAAAGUGAUUUCCGAUCGAGCUUAUAUGUAUUCAAGAAGUAAGAUAAAAUUGGAAUAAUGUCGUGUUAAAAAUAAACAUCCACGUCAUAUAUUAUGAUCAACCUCAUCUUUAAAAUCUUGCAAUAACAAGAAAAAAUAAAUUGCACAAAACCUCUAUACAUUUCCCGUUCGACCAACAAACAAUGGGUCAUUUCUUGAGGAAGAUAUGUGACGAAGUAAGUUGGAAGAGUGAAGUUGAUGGUGAUACAUUAUUUGGGUUUUAGAAUAGAUUAGAAAUAUGCCUAUUAGAGCUUGAAUAUGUUGCAUGCAUGAUUGAUGAAUACACUCUUUUUAAAGUAUCUGUUUUGCACUAAUUUUACACCAUACGUUAGUAUGGUUUUAAUUGGUUUGUUCACCCAUUUACUAUGGAUACUUGUGAUUAUGCGGUGUUAUAUAUGAUUCAUAAGUGGUGUAUUUUUAAAGAAAAAUGAAAUCUCAAGAACCCAGGAUUUCAAGCGGGGUUUAGAAAGUAAAAAAAAUGGUGCUAGAUGGAUUGACGGGAAAUGUAGCUCCCUUGUAACCCAGCCCAAAGGCCUCUCUCCACCUCAGCCAACCCGCAGGAUCUGUUUUAAUGUGAAUCAGAUUAAAGAUAUGGGUGUUCAGAAUCCAAUCCAAUCCGCUCAAUUCAUUUGAUCAGUAAAAAUUUGAUCUAUGGAUUGAUGGGUUAAAAAUUUAAAAAUCCACAAUCGGUCGAUUGAAUAUGGAUUUACUUCUGUAAAUCCGUAAAAAAAAUAUAUUUAAUUAAAAAAAUAGAACUUAUAAAUGUAGUAUUACUACUUAUUAAUAAAUCAAUUAAUUAAAAUAUAGUUAAAGUAACAUCAUGUUAUAUAUUAUUCGAUAAUAAUACAAAAUGAAAAAAUUAAAUAUUUGAAUAACUAAAUAAGUAAAUAUAGGUUCCUAAACAUUAAAAAUUCUAAAACAUAACAAAACUCUAAGCCAAACAAAACAUUUUAGCACAUAACGCCAAACCUCUACCCCACUGCAUGCACAAGUACUUAUAAUUUUUUUACUUUCUUUUCAAGCUCUUCAAGUUUCAUAACUUUUUUCUGUUACAUCGAAGAUCUCAAGUUUCAACUUUUGUUUAUAUUUAAAUUCAUAAUUUUAGUUAAUUUUCUUGUAUUGAUUUACAAAAAUGAGAUUUUAUUUUCAGCGUGUUAUAUUUUGAAACUUUGAAUGUAUUAUUAUAGCUUAAUUUAGACAAUUUAUUUCUUUAAAUUUUAUUCAAUUUUGAAUUUAAUCGGUAGUAAAAUUAUUUAUAUUGGAUUUUUUAAUUUAAUUACUUCGUAGAUUGAACAAAAUUAAAAAUUAAAAAUUCGCAAAUCAAUCUGCAAAAUAGUGAAUUGGAUAUGCACUAUGUCAAAUUCGUAUCAAAUCUGUAGACAUAUAGAUUAGAUUUGGAUUGAGUUUCAUCAAUAUGUGAAUUGAAUUGGAUUGGAAAUUUAUAAUCUGCAAAAUCAUGGAUUGAAUAUAGAUUAAUGUCCAAUUUAUAAAAUUGAUCCGCGAGUACUCCUAAUUAAAGCCUCCACAAUUAAGCUGGUAAACCGGUAAUGAGAACUAACAGUGACAAAUUUAAUCUGGAAAUUAACUUUUCUAUUUGAUAUUUUUGGUAAUUUUAUCAGCAUAAUUAAAAAUAUAAAAAACUCAUGAUUCUUGAGACUAAAACUUGCAGGGCUCUUAGGCUAUGGUGCGUGAUUUCUUUCAUCUCCUCGACUCCUCCUAAUUUAUGGUAAUUUUUUUCCUACUAAUUUGUAGGUAAAAUUAAUAUUUUUUUAUUAAUUUAUGUAGUGUUUAUUUUUUGGAGUGCGAGUGUAGAUUCUUCCCACUCCCGUGUUUACUUAUAAUUUUUAAUGGGGGUGAGAAUCCAACUUUAUGGACUCCACCUAAUUUUAGAGUGGGGAGUAGGAUUCCCACUCCCAUGGGGGGAGGUGGGAGUGGAAAUCCACUCCACCCUCUUCAUUUUUUACCCGUAUAUUUAAACUGCUGNNNNNNNNNNNNNNNNNNNNNNNNNNNNNNNNNNNNNNNNNNNNNNNNNNNNNNNNNNNNNNNNNNNNNNNNNNNNNNNNNNNNNNNNNNNNNNNNNNNNNNNNNNNNNNNNNNNNNNNNNNNNNNNNNNNNNNNNNNNNNNNNNNNNNNNNNNNNNNNNNNNNNNNNNNNNNNNNNNNNNNNNNNNNNNNNNNNNNNNNNNNNNNNNNNNNNNNNNNNNNNNNNNNNNNNNNNNNNNNNNNNNNNNNNNNNNNNNNNNNNNNNNNNUGGCCGUACAGCAGUAUAAUAAAAUAAAUAUUUUAUUUUUCAAAUAUAUUUUUUUAUUAAUUUUGUAAUUAAAAAUUAUAAUUUUUUAAAUAAGGGUAAAACUAUAAUUUAAAAUCAUUUACUUCUAAUCCAAGACAAUUUCAUACUCCCACUCCAGUGUAAAUAAACAACUUACUUUCUCUUUCAUUCGACACUCAUAAUCUUAAAAUUCUUACUCCAAUUUAAAAUGUAAACUCUACCUUAGAUAAGCCUUAAACUUGUUAGUAGGAGUCUGAUUCCAAAAAGAACAGUAAAAUUAAAACUUCGUUGCCACAGGAUCUUUAUUUUCAAUCGAAAUUCGUUUUUAUAUUUGGGAUGACUAUUUUGCAAUUCGAAGAUCAAUUUUAUAUAUAUAUAUAUAUAAAGAUUAAGAUGAAGAACAAUGCUAUUUUUCGAUAAAUUAAUGAAAAUUUUGUAAGUCGGUCAGAAACCUAAGCCCCUGAAUCGUGAACACACAGACACCUAGGAUUUCGUUUGUAACAAUCAACGAUGCACCCGCUUCCGUCGUCCGAGACUGACUGAGUCCGUGCCCUAAUUGCCACCUUCUUAAAAUACCGACACGUGUACAACCACCAGUCCCUCUCACCCUCCGUAACCUUAAUUAUCAUUUAACGCCGUGCCCUUGCCUCUCGCCUUUCCAGCGUAACCAAUUUCACAAACAGGUGUCAGAAAUUCCAAGGGGCGAAACACACGUGAUCCGUUUCUCAACUGAAAUUUGAACUCAAAUUAAACAACAAACCCUAAAAUACAAAUAAUUCAAAUAAAUUUUAAAUUGACUGUAAGCCUCGAUUUUUAUCUUUUUUCUUUUUUUUUCCCGCGCAGCUUUAGAGUUUCCCGGUAAGCUCCUGUCUUCUUCGUGAAUUUUUUAAUUAAAUUUUGUAUCUAAUUGCAUAUUUGUCAAAUUUGUUGUCAGCUUAGGGUUUUGUGUUUAAUCUUUUGUGUAAUUCGCUGUUGUUGGAUCAGAUUCUUAGCUCUGGUUUAUUAUUUAAUUACCUUGUUUUAAUUUAAUUUCUUCUAAAUCACUUGCUGUUUUAAGUGCAUUAUGAAUUUAGUAGAAUUUGAUUUAAAAAUGGUGAUCUUUUAGCUGAAAUCUGGCGUUUUAGUCGAAGAUAAUGAUAAAAAUAAUGUAUUAUUGGAUGAUAAUUGGAAAAAAAAUAAAUUAGUUGUUGAGCGAGUUCAAUCAUGUGCUGAUAAUAUUGUGCUUUACAUACGUUUGCAGUUCAGAUCCUUUCAGUAGUUUCUUUUAGCUAUUCUUUAUGGGUGCCCCAAAACAGAAGUGGACACAAGAAGAAGAAGCCGCUUUGAAAGCUGGGGUUAUCAAACACGGCGCUGGCAAGUGGCGCACAAUACUUAAAGAUCCGGAAUUCAGUGGCGUCUUGUAUCUGCGUUCUAAUGUUGAUCUCAAGGUUAGUUGUUUUUCUACAAUUCUUGUGUGUCUAUAAUGCUAGGACAUGCAUUUUGGUGAACUAGAUAAUAGUGUUAAUGGUGAUUGAUUUCUUUGGUUUUGAUAUGGGUUAGGACAAGUGGAGAAAUAUGAGUGUGAUGUCAAAUGGAUGGGGGUCGCGAGACAAAUCUAGGUUAGCUGUCAAAAGAAUACCGCAUAUUGCAAAAUCGGAAGAGAACUCUUUGGCUCUGAGUUCUACCGUUGUUCAAAGUGAUGAGGAAGAAAUUGUGGAUGCUAAACCACUCGCAGUUAGUGGUGCUACGCCACAGAUUGCGGCUGCUCCAAAGAGAUCUAUUGUAAGGUUGGAUAUAGUUGUUGUUUCACUACCACGAUUGUGAGGUUGUUGGUGAAAAAAAAAUUUUCAGCUCUGUCACUUAAAAACAUAUCAAAGUAAUUUAAUGAUGUGUUUCUACUUUGAAAUACGUUAUAUGGUCCAAAAUCCAAUGCCUUUUGUGGUUAUAAUUUGUAUGAAAUGGAAGUAUAGAACAAUAGCAAGAUUGUCUUUCCUUUUUGUGAAUUGUAAAACAUAAGUUCUUUGUUUUCAUUUUUAUAGGUUGGAUAACCUUAUAAUGGAGGCUAUAACUACGUUGAAGGAGCCUGGUGGUUCUAAUAAAACAACUAUCGCUGCAUACAUAGAGGUACUUCUCUAUUUGAGGGAAAGUUGCGUUUUGGAAUUCUAGAUCAUGACAUUGCAAAUUGACAUGUUCGUUAUUGGUCCUGGAGCUUUUCAUGUGUUUUAUUGAGAUUAUAAUUUUUGGAAAAGAUAAUAUGUAUCAGCAUUUUCAUUAAUUUAUUGCGUACUUAACUGACCUUUGCUGAAUAUUUAUUCUGCAGGAGAAAUACUGGGCACCUCCUGACUUCAAGAGGCUAUUAUCAGCUAAACUAAAGUAUUUGGCAGGAACUGGAAAACUCGUUAAGGUACUUAUGUGCUACAAACCUGUGGUGUAAUGGUAACUAAUUGGAUGCCUGGUAAUGCUUUACUUGGAUGCUAGGAGCCUCGUUGAAAUCUAAUUGUAAUACGUAUUGUUAGUGACUAUGGAUCUUUUAAUCUUUUAACGUUGUGUUCUUAGAGACUUUGGAACUGCUUCUUCCGUAUACUAGUUUAGAUUGGGACAACAUUGUUUGGAAUUGAUUUAAGUAUGAUAUAUCUACGACAAUAACUAUCUUAAUGGUAUCUUAAUUUUAAUUCAAUUUAUUAUUGCACAAUUGCAUCAUUUUUUGGUUUGAUGCUUGAGUUGGGCAAGUCAAGUAAUUUUAAUCCAUAAUUAUGAUAGGGUCAUGCGGAAUCUCUCUGUCUAGGAACUGGAUGUAGCUUCCAGAAUAUUGGUUUGUUGUCCUAGUGACAGUAGUUGGACUGUGUCAGGAUCGUAUUUGAUGCCAGGUUGUAAUUUUUUUUCCUUGCAGAUUAAACGUAAAUAUCGGAUUGCACCUACUCUUCCUUUUCAGGACAGAAGAAGGAAUUCAAUGUUGCUUCUGGAGGGAAGGCAGAGGAUUUCUCAUAAAGUUAAUAAUGAUGACAUCAAUGUUCUUACAAAAUCUCAGAUUGAUCUAGAGUUAGCCAAGCUAAGGAGUAUGACUCCACAAGAGGCUGCUGCGGCUGCUGCUCGAGCAGUUGCAGAGGCUGAAGCUGCUGUGGCAGAAGCUGAAGAAGCAGCAAGGGAGGCAGAUGUAGCAGAAGCUGAUGCGGAAGUGGCACAAGCUUUUGCAGCAGCAGCUAUGAAAACACUGAAAGGAAGGAACAACAGCCAAAAGAUGGUAAAAUUCAUUGCUAUAAGUUGUUAGUAAUGUCAAUCAUAUUUGCUAAACUAUUUUUGCAAGAAAAAAUUUACAAAAAAAAGGGUAAAACAACUAGUGAUCCACCUCAGGAAAAUAUUAUUAUUUUCUAAAUAUCGGUUUUGGCUUGAAAAGUUCAGGCUAGAGAUUGUCAACGGACAAAAAUGAGUCAUUACUAGAUUUUGCCUAUUGAAGUUUUGGUGGGAAGGCUUUUUCUAGCUUUUAAGUUGAUGCAGCUUUUUGUGAAAUGUGCAGAUGAUACGAGCUUGAUGAAUACUAAUGGGCAACAACGUGCAACAGUGGGUUCAAUUUUUUGACAGAUUUGUUGUUUCAAGCAAGUCCUUUGGUGACAUUGCCUGUAUUUGUAAAUAUGUUUAGGCCUUUUCAGCAGGAUGACCUUCACCAGCUUAUUUUGUUAAAAUGGUAGAUGUUGUUUCCCUGUCAGAAUUUUCUGGUAUGUAGCUGAUCUUCAUUGAAAUUUGGGAACUGAAAAAAGAAAAUGUAGUAAAUUGUAGAAAUUAUGGUGUAGAAAGGAAUAAAAAUAAUUGGAUUUCGACUGAUCCCAUGUCUUUUAGGUACCUCUUUGAUGGAAAAUGAAUGUACUGUUCAUAUGCAGCAUUGAAUUUGAAUUCUGCCCUUGUUUUUUUUGGGGUUUAAUAAUAUAAACAGAAAUUAUAUUUGUAAUUUAUAUAGUCAAAUGGCUUUCCCUAAUCAACACUAUAGAAGAAACCGGUAUUCUUGCACAUAGGCUACAUGAGUUUUAUAAAGAAAACGGCAUUCUUGCACAUAGGCCACAUGGGUUUUAUAAAGAAAACAACAUUCUUGCACAAAGCCCACAUGGGUUUUAUCAAGUUGUUUUUAAGUAGUUUUAUUUAAUUUUUAAACAGAUUUAUUUAGCUUUUUAGUUUGAAUUUUUAGAAGUGCUUGUUUCGUAUGGUUUAUCUAAUAGUCAUGGAUGCUUAUUUAAUGCCAUAAACUCUUUUUAAUUUUUUUUUGUUAUUGUUUGAUUUUUUUAGUAGACCUUUUAAAGUUUAAAUAAGUUAUUUUGUCUCUACCAUUAAAAGGUCAAAAUUUUUACAUUUAGGGGUAGAGGUUGAAAAACUUUUAAAAAAUUUAAAAUGUUUAAAAUAUCUUUUAUUUAUUCUGUAAUAUUAUUUCAUUCAUUUCAUAACAUAACUUUAAAUAAUUUGCUUAUUAAGGUAAUUUUACAAUUUUUAAUAAAAAAAUUUAUUGAUAAUCAAACAACUAAUUUUUUUCAUAAAAAUUUUAUUUGUAGAAUUUUUAUUAACAAAAACGCUCUAUUUGAAAAGAUAUAAACAGCAAAGGAGUUAAAAAAUUAACUUGUUUUUUAUCAAUUUAAAUAGAAAUUUCUAAAAUUUUUUAUACUCUUUUUACAUAAGAUUUUAUGAACACGCAGGUCCGCAUUGCAAUUAAGAAUAAAUAUGUAUUGCUCCGGAUUUCCCUAAACUCUUAGACGGUAGCCUGUUGCCGCGAUCGCCCCAAGUGCCGCCUUCAU
rnacentral:lncRNA from 1 species